AUACAGCUACUUGUCUUGUGUAUUGACUGACUAAUUGUAGUUAGCAUGGCACGUCAGGCAGACCGUCUUGCUAAGAUUGGGCUGGAGGGCUUUGCAGCCAUAGAUGAGGCCAAGAGGCGGCCACCAGUUAUGAAGGUUCCCUAUGCUCAUCCCACAUAUUACUAUGCAAACCAAAUUCCUGCAACAGCAGUUAUCGACAGCAACGAGGCAGCUCGACGCUACAAGGGGAGGGUUUAUAUCGAUUAUCCAAAGGGGAAACCAGUUCCAUUUUAAAGACCCAGUGAUUAAUCACUUUGCUUUCUUGUAUGCAUAAUCUCCUCCACUUGUGUUACCUUUAGUCCUGUACGAUAUUCUCCCUCUGCUAAACGUAGACGAGGAGCUUCUCUUACUUCUUCAAAUAAAAUUUCUGUGAUUUAUAUAUCAUAAUUUUCUAUUUGGCUGGUCAAGUAUGUAUUGUCAUAAUUAUCUUUCUGACUUCCUAAUUAUCACCUGAUUCACCUCUUACUUAGCAUGGAAUUGAAAGAUACACAAGUAAUUUUCUGUUGAAAUGCUUUGAAGCUCUUCAAGCUGUGAUUUCACCGACUUAUUUCGGAACUGUACAGAGCUCAAUGAUGAGCCGUGGGAAGCGUCUCUGAUUAUUGCACUGUAAGCACGAGUGUACGUAUGAAUAUAAACAGCAGAUCUGCUCCGUUAUUGCCAUAUGCUUAAAUAGAUCGCAGGAUCCGCAAACCACAGGUGAUGACAAGCUUCUUAAUAACUAUUAGAAAAUAAUAUAAAUCAUAUCUUGGACCCUCAUCUAACAACUUAAAUUUUUGGGUUGAGAUGGUUUUUUGAUAUGGUAUCAAAGCCUUGAUAACCAAGUAGUCAUAAGUUCAAAUCUCAUCAUUCUUAUUUAUUUAAUAAAAAUUAAGCACAGGGUAAAGUGGGUCUGUGCAAGUUUCAAACCUAAAAGGCUUUCACUCGAGGAGAUGUGUUAAAGAAUAAUAUAAAUCAUAUCUUAAGACCUCACCUAAUAAAUUAAAUUUUUGAAUUAAGAUGGUUCUUUACAAUAACUUCUAUUCUGACUUCAAUAGUGGAUUUAAGGAUAGAAAACCUGUAGGUUUGUGGUCAAGGAGGUUGGCUCUCUUCCUUAUAUUUUUUAUUUCAAACUUUAAUAACAAUACUCAUAUAAAUUUAUUUUUUCUGAAUGAAACUUGUUAAUACAAGAGUGUUAUUUUGAUGAAAAAGAAAAAUCUUAUUUUUAUCCCAUCACACCCCACCUAAGAAAUUAUGUAAUUAGUUAUUUCUAUAAGCUGUUCCAGAGAAUAUAGUCUUAAAUCAUUAUAUUUUACGACUCAUGAUUGUUUUUUUAAUAUAGCUGGGCUAAGAAAGAAAAAUAAACGGAGUUCUAUCUGCAUUUACAAUAGAAUUUUACAAUAGUGAACAAUAUAUCUAGGAAUAUCAGCGAUGAUGACCAUAGAUGGAUCAUGUGUGAAUUCUUAGCAAAUCAUUACUUGUAUAACCAAAAUUUCCUUCACAGCUCUUUUACUAAGCUGAUUGUCGAUGAAAAGUAAAGGAAAAGCAUGAUUCCCAAUCCGAGCUAUGUGAGCAAGUGUAUCUAGUAAAAAUAUCUCAUCUCCCAAGAAAACGAGAUUAGUAAGCCUCCCUUUAAAGCUUUGCUUUGCACACCUUUUCUUGAUCUUUCCCAAUCCUUCAUUAUAAAUGGGACCCAUCAAAAACAUGAGAUGUGCUUUAACCUCCUCCAUAUUUCAUCUUAGCCUAGAAGGAUAAACAAGAAUAUUAUUGCUUCUGAAACAUAACGAUUGCAAGCAUCGCCUUUCGGUGAACUUUUGAUGACAUGAAACUGCCACAAAUUGGGUCCUAUUCCGAGUGAGUUUUCUUUUUCUGCUCUGUUAUCGCAUAUAUACAACUGAAAUCUUUAAGUCCUCUUCAGGGUACCCCUGAAAGAAAAUGGUCUAUCAUGGAAAGUCCUGAGGAAUCUGAGGCAUAUAAUAUGAGAUAUAUAUCGUCCCAAGAUCAUAAAAAUGAUAAAUCUUAAUCUUAUCAGGUGUAGCCAUGAAAUGGGAUCAGAACCUAUUUUCCUAAUUUUAUUAACUAAAGGGAAAGCCACAACCAAGUCUCUGUACUAUAUGAUUGUCCAUUAAUACAGAAUCUAGCACAUCCUUGAGUAGCUAAAGAAAGCUAGAAUAAAGUACCUCUAGCAACAUCUUCACUGUUUAUUUUCUAAUAGUUUUGUUUUGUUAAAUCGCACUUGAAAAUACAGAACCUGUUCUUGAUAUUUCAUGGACAAUAUUUACUCUAGUUGUGCAAGUAACGUAUACACAAAUACCUGUAAUAUUGCAUCAAAAUUCAAACUAACAACAGUAUGUGUAUACUUGUGGAUAUGGAAUCAGCCAGAAGUGGAGAACCCCAUAAAUCUUGAAAACCUCUGUUGAUUGUGAUGGGUCCAAAAAGCAGAAAGCAAGUUACAAGCUGCCUGCUUUCUGCUAAUAUAUAUAAUGCUGCAUAUAUGACCUAUUUUGUACCAAGGCAAACCAUACAGUUUUAAUUGUUCUUUGAGUUAUAGUGUUAAUUUCACAUAUGGCACGUCAGGUAGAUCGUCUCACAAGGAUUGGAAUGGAAGGCUUUGCUCUGAUUGAGAAUAGUUAUGGCUGGCCUGGAAGGUCUGGAAGACUCCCCUCAACUCAGGUACAGCAAAAUCAUCAUCACUAUCAUCAUCAUCAUCAUCAUCGUCAAUACCAAGAUCAGCAAACAUUGGUUUAUCAGGGAACUCAAAUUACCACGGUGAGGAUGCCUGUGAUCAUUAGCAAUGAGGUAGUUCAAUACUAUGGUAACAUGGUGAAGAAGCCUGUUAUUCCUAGCAAUGAGGCAGCUCAAUAUCAAGGGGGUGUGGUGAAAGAGCCUGUUAUCACUAGCGAUGAGGCAGCUCAAUAGGAUGGUAGAAAGAAACGAUUUCGUUUAGAUUAUUAGGUUUCAUGAAUUUACUGAACAUGCUUAAUGUCAUGUAUGAGUAAUCUGAGUCACUUGGUUCUUAAAUCUCCUGGUUUCUUACUCAUAGAUAAAGCAACUUGGUCUGCUAAAGAACCUUGUAAAUUUUAUCUUUAGAGCUCCUGUUGUCACGCAGUUUUCUUAUCUAUAACGUAAUCAGCUUUACUGUAACUCUUUAUGUCUCUCUCUCUCUCUCUAUUUUUGUGUGUGGGUUGUGAUGAUCUUUCUUACUUCUGAUAAGCCAAAUGAUUCUCAAAGCACACCUUGGAAAACAACAGCUAAGGCAAGGCGAAAUGAAAGCUAAAGCUAGGAAUUAAAGAACAAAACAACAUAGAAUAUGAAGGAAAAAAUGAAUAAAAAAACGAAACAACAGAAUUAAAAAAAUAAAAAAUUAAAACAAAAGGAAAUUAGCCAAAAACAAUUGGAAGAAAAUUACUAUGGUAGGAGUUUAUGUUAAAAGAAAGAUAGGUGUUGUAUAAUAUCAAAAAUAGUAAUGCAAAGUCAAAACUCAAUAAGAAGAAGAAGAUUGAGAGAAACGUAUACUUUUAUUAAGUGUUUCUCUCUAAACUCUUUUAGUUAUUCUCUCUGCUUUUAUUCUUUUUAAAAAUGCUAAAUUACAAGUCUUUUAUAGGUAUAAAGUCCUAGAUAAUCAAGGAAUUAAACUAAUACAAGGAAAUUCUAAUAUGAACAAAAAUUGUAUUCUGCCUACUAGCUAAAUCAGUCGACUAGUUCCCAACCAGUGGAUCGGUUCCUCUAUUCUUCAUAAAAACAAGAAAUCGAGUUCAAUUUUCAAAACCCCUUUCUAAACUUGAUUUCUUCAUAACUCGCACAAAUCUCUUAUUUUGGUAAAAACAUCAUAUUCAACUGGUUUUGUGAAAAUAUCUGCAACUUGCUCUUGUGUCUUUACAUACUUGGCUUCAACUUCUUUGUUUGUAAUGCAAUCUCUUAGGUAAUGAAAUCUUGUGUCAAUGUACUUAUUUCUGUCAUGAAAAACUUGAGUUUUAGCUAAGGCAAUAGCUAAUGAGUUGUCCACAUAAAUCUAUGUAGACUUCUCUUAUGGGAUCCGUAAUACUUUCAGUAAUCUUAUUAGCUAUAUGGAAUGACAAACACAUGAUGUAGUAGUUAUAUAUUUAGUUUCACAUGUUGAUAAAGUGACUAUAGAUUGCUUUUUUAAACACCAUGUGAAUGUUGUGUCUUCCAUGUAGAAAACAAAACCAAUAGUGCUCUUUUUAUCAUCCAUAUCUCUAGCUCAAUCACUAUCAUUGCAACCCACAAUAUCAAAGCUAUUAGAAUAUCCAUAAAACAAGCCAAAAUCAACAGUACCUUUGAUAUACCGAAGAACUCACUUCAAAGCUUUGAAGUGUGUCAUAGUUGGUGUAUCCAUAGACCUACUCCCAAGUUCUACUCCAAAAAGAACAUAUGAACAAGUGCAUGUCAAAUAUCUCAAACUCCCAACUAGGCUUUUGAAUGUUGUAGAGUUUAUCUUCUCCUCUUCAUCAUUCUCUAUUAUCUUCACUCCACACUCAACUAGAAUAUUCUUUUUCGCACAAUCUUUCAUCUUGAACUUCUUGAGAAUCUCUUGGCUUACAAAGAUUCCAUCUUCUCCUUGUUUGAUCUCAAUCCCUAAGUAAUAUGUCAUAAGACCAAUGUCUAUCAUUUCAAACGCCUUGAUCAUUGUUUGCUUGAAGUCUUCAAACAUCUUUGGAUUAUUUCCUAUAAAGAUUAAGUCAUCCACAUACAAACAUAUAAUAAGAGUAUCACCACUCUCUUUGAUCUUUACAUAGAUAGCAUAUUCAUAGGAACAUUUAACAAAUGCAUUCUUUAAGAAAAAGCCAUCAAAGUGACUAUAGCAAGCCCUUGGGGUUUGCUUCAAUCCAUAUAAGACUUUGUUCAACUUUAGUACCUUGUCUUUAUGUCCCUUCACUUCAUAACUCAUAAGUUGCUUAAUGUAGACCUUCUUCUCAAGAAAACCAUUAAGAAAGGCUGAUUUGACAUCCAUUUGAUAGAUUCUCCAUCUAUAUUGGGUAGCUUUGGCAACGAUUAAUUGAACGGUCUCCAAUCUAGCAACGAGAGCUAAAACCUCAUCAUAGUCAAUCUCAUACUUUUAGCUUUCGCCUUUUUUCCACUAACCUUUCUUUGUACCUCUCCAUUUCUCCUUCGGCAUUCUUCUUUUCUUUAUAGAUCCACUUGACACCUAUUAGCUUCUUUCCAUUUGGUCUACGAACCAAUUUCUAUGUGUCAUUCUUCUUAAUUGAUGCAAGCUUCUCAUCCAUAGCGAUUCUUCAUUUUUCAUCCUUUAUUACUUCUUCAAACAUUAUAGGAUCACUUGUAGCAAGGUGAUAAUAUAGUGUUACAUCAUCAUCAAUAGGAGUAGUUACCUCAUAUAGCUCAUCAAGGCUCCACAUUCUUUUUGGUGGACUUGAUGGGUUGCCACUACUUGAACUUUCAUUAGAAAAAAAAAAAGAAAAGAGAUAAAGGUAAAGAUGACACCAUUGGUGAUUAUGGAGGUGUAGUUUGUUCUUGAUGAUCUUCAUAUCUCUCCUUCCCUUUAUCAGAACAGACAAGGCUUCAUCUUCUUCUUUCUUCUUCUUUUAUCUUCUCUCACAGGGCCAUUUCUUUUUCUUUCUCUUCUCUUCUCUCUAUCUCUCCUUCUUAGCUAAAAACAAGCAUUCUAUUAUCUUCUCAUCCUCAAGUACGUUGUCUUUUUUCAUUUUCUUUGGGUUUAAUAACAAUCUAUUUUCUUUUGUUUUGUUUUUCUUUUUUUUUUCCUUUUAAUUAUCAGUCGAAAUUAAGCAUACCAUUAAGGUUGGAAUUUUUCAUUCUUUUCUCUUCCCCUUUUUAUGUUUUUUGCAAUAUUUUUGUUUUUUGUCAUUAUUUUUGUUCAAUUUUGUGUUCUUAAUAAUUUUAUGAAUUAAUAAAUGUGUUGAAUUUUAGUUGUUAUUGAAAUAUUGCAUUAUUUUGUUGAAUUUUAGCUAUUUUUUUUUCAAAUUUGUUGUUCAAUUUUAAUUAAAUGUGUAGGAUUAAUUUUAAUUAUUAUUUUGUAUUUAUUCCAUAUAGAAUAAUUUUUUGUAAAUUUAGGAUUAAAAAUAUUAUAACUUAGAAAUAAUUGUGUUGAAUUUUAGUUGUUAUUAUAAUAUUUUUUGCAUUAUUUUGUUGAAUUUUAGUUGUUUUUCUUUUCAAUUUUGUUGUUCAAUUUCAAUUAAAUGUGUAGGAUUAAUUUUAAUUUUUGUAAAUUUGAAAUAUUUUUUUUUAAAUUUAGGAUUAAAAAUAUUAUCAUGUAGAAAAUGAAAAUUUUCUAUGAAAUUUAAUUAUGCUAAAUUGUUAGAAGAAAUUGAAUAAAAAUACCAGGCCUAGUGGAAGAAAUAUGUUGUGUAUUUGUAGGUUUAAAACUUUUGGGUAGUCUUCUGUGUAGGGGAGGUGCUGCCAAUUGUUUUUAAAAAAAAUACGAAUCAUUUAAUUUUUUUUAUUCAUUAAUUUGUGUAGAUGCCUAUAGAAAAGUCUAAUGCACGUCAUGAGGACAAGAUUGCUGCUAGUUCUUCUAGUAGCGAUGCUGACGACCACGAGUCAUUAGGUGCCAAUAAAAAAUAGGAACUUGAGGCACAUGCAUCAACUCACGACGCGGGCUUGUCGAGUGCAAUGUUGCAACGUCGAGGGGGGGUCCCUUCACAAUGGGAUCCAUUUACUUGCAAGUAUGAGGCCUAGUGGAAGGACGACCUUUCAAUGUAAGUUUUGCUUUCGCAAUGACAUGUUUAAUAAAUUUUCAAAAAAUAAUUUCAUUUAAUGAAUGCAAUUUCAGGUUUAUAAAUAUUGAGGCUGCGAGAACAAUAACAUCGAUCUAAAAUCAUCGAUAGAAAUUUCAUUGUUUUAAUGGAGCUAGGUUUCCAAACAUCCUGAAUGGAAACUGCAGCUCAUUGCAUGAUUUUCAAGGUUCAAGGUUGGUAGUAACUUAAAUAUUUUUUUAUGUUAAUUUGGUUAGUUUAUUGAAAUUAUUGAAUUUUUUCUGAGAGAGUUGGAAAAGCAUUACUGCAAAUAUCACUUCUACUAUUAACUCAUCGACGAAAUUACAGAUGGUAUUCUAUCGGUGAUAUGUUAUAUUUAUCGAUGGAUAUACCGAUGCACAAAUAAAAACACUGAUGACAUUGCAUACAGUAUUCCUGUUUGUGAUAUGUUAAAUUUACCAAUGGAGAUACUGACGGAAUAAAACAGAUAAUUUUUUUUUGGCGUGCUUUGUUUGUCUAUAAAUUCAUUGGUAUAUUUAUUACCGAUGGACUCACCAACAAACCAUAAAUUAUUGGCGAGAGUUUUUUCGAUGGACUGUCUCCAUCCGUGAGCCCGUUGACAAUAUACAUACCAAUGGACUGUGAGUGUGAAUACUGACAAAAAUUUCUGUUAGUAAAAUUGUUAAAUCUAGUAGUGAUUGCAUGAUCCACCGCUAGAAGUGAUGAGUACAAGUUAUGACCAUUUUAAGUUGUUGUUUCUGGUCUGACAUGACUAGACCUUCUCUUGGACCUAGACUUGUCCUACUAGUCUAUAAAUAUAUAUGUUAGAACAUCCAUAUAAUCUGUCUAGAGCAGAUACUCAUCUAAUUGUGGCAGACCCACAUAUGAUAGCUCAGAAUCACCUGUUAUUGCAAGCCCAACUACAUCAUUAAUGGUUUCUCAAGGUAAGUCAUGAGGAAUUUGAAGCAUAUAAAAUGAUAUAACUUGUCCCAAUAUCAUAAAAAUGUUAAAAAAAUGUGAGUAUAUGAACCCAUGAAGCGGGAUCAGAAUCUAUUUUCCUAUUGUUAUUAACAAAACGGAAAGCCAUAACUAACUGUUUGUACUAUAAUAUUGGGAGUGAGAGGUACAAUGUCCAGAAUGCUUCUAAGGAUAACCAUAUGUCCAUAUCCAUAAGAUCUCAAUCGAUUGCCCCUUACUACAGAAUCUAGCACAUCCUUAAGUAAAUAAAGAAAGCUAGAAUAAAGUGCCUUCACUGAUUAUUUAGCAUUACUGAGCAGGCCAAGUCUUCACUGCUUAUUUCCUAAUAAUUCCUUAUUGUGGAAUUGCACUUACAAAUAAAGAACUUGUUAUUGAUAUUUUCGUACAGAAUUUCUCUCUCGAUUAGUCGGUCAAUAAUGUAACUUCGUUUAUUCGGAUUUGAGGCCGGCCAUGAGAUGGAGAGGUUGUGUCACAUUAAUUAUGUCAUGUUAUAUGGAAUCAGAUUCACCAUUAUUAAACUAAAGCGUCUCAUCGAUUCUACGAAACUUGUCGAAAGGAAUCAUUUGUUCAAUAAUUGAAUGCGAUUUUUAUCGGGUUCACCUGACGAUCCAACCUCCAUCCACAAAUCCGGAUCGAAUUCCGAAUGGGUCAAAAUAUCGUCCCCGUAUCUCUCCCUCAACCGAUUAUUAUAGGUCUCCUGAAAAUAAAAAAAGUAAUCAUCAUAUUCAAUUCAAUAAACAUAAUAACUUACAAAAUAAAAUGGUUGAACAAACAUACCAUGAAAUGUUGAGCACGGUUAUCAACGAACUGUUGCGCCCCCUUUUGGCGGUCUUGACUCCGCACGUGCGUCUCCACAAACAGCUCCAUCGGGCUUGGCUCACGUCCAAGAGACGUAGCCUAUAAUGAAAAAAGAUUUAUUAACAACUUAAUUUAACGAUAUAUUUCAUUUAAAUUAAUCUUACCAUCCGUUUCGCAUGUGUAGCAAACGGAACGGAGCCGCCAGUGUGCGUUGUUACUGAGCCAUGAAUUGGCCGAUUCCGGUUGCCAACACCGGACUGUGAGCGUCGUGUAAACCGCUCAGACAUCACGUGCUCAAGAUAGUGCGGCCAUAUAUCUUUUGGGAUGUAUAUCGGUUUGAAAUUCCUCCAAACCGUAACAUCGUUCCAGCCUUGGAAACCCCUAUCUCUAGCGGUUUUUUUUGCCCUUUUUUGUGCUUCAUACCAAAAAUCACGCAACCAAAAAUUACAUUUCGAAAGAUAAAUUUUUGUCUAAAAAACAUCUUGUAUUGUUUUCGAUGUUACCUAGUUGCCGCGUGAUUUUCCCACACCCUCCUCGCAACAGUGUUAUGCUCACUGUCCCAGCAGAAUUUGUCCUGUGUAUAAAUAAUUAAUUUUAAAUAAAAAUAAUAAUUUAUUUACAAUUAUAUUAAUAAUUUAUUAGAAAUAAGCUGAAAAUUAUAAAUUAACACCAACCUCAAAUUUGUCAAACCAUGCAUUGAUUUGAGGCAUCCAUUCAGGAUGCUUGGAUAUCUGACUCCAUUGAAACAAUGGAAUCUUCAUCGACGAUUUAAACGCCGAUGAUAUUACUCGGGCAGCCUCAAUGUUUGUGAACCUGAAAAUAAAUGAAAUAAAUUCAAUAGUGAUUACUUCAUAAGUUAUGUUGUAAUUUUUUUUAAAAAAAAAAACUAAAACCUUAACAAACUUACAUUGAAAGGUCGUCCUUCCACUGUGCCUCGUACUUGCGGGUAAAUUGAUUCCGCUGCGAAGGCACGCCGCCUCUGCCCUGUGAAGUAGCGCUGGAAGAGGCAGCAUUGGUUGACGACGCAGGUGGUGUAGGUGCCUCUUCUUGAGAGGCACCUAAGGAAAUAUCAUCCUCGCUGCUAGACGAACUAGUUGCGACCAUACGUGAGCGACCAGCUUUGGUUUUCAUUCUACGCACCUACACAAUUUUAUACAAAUAAUUAUAUAAUUAAAUUCAAAUGUUAAAAAAAAAUUCGACAGCAUCUCCCCUAUACUGGAUACUACCCAAAUCUACAAACCUGCACAUAUUAACAAUAGCCACAACCAAUUGACCCAAUCUAUACUAACUAUUCCAACAUAUUCAAUUACUAAUCCUAAGGUAAUUCAACAUUAAGAAUUACAAUUCAACAAAUUAUUCAAUAAUUAUGCCAAUACAACAAUAAAAUAUAUUCAAUAAAUAAAUAAAAACUCUAGACUAACAAUUAAAAUUAAUGGAAAAAAUUAAACAUAAAUCAUGCAAUAAUAGAGUAAAAUUAACAAUUAUUUCAAAAUAUUCAAUUACUAAUACUAAGGUAAAUUCAACAUUAACAAUUACAAUUCAAAAAAUUAUUCAAUAAUUAUGCCAAUACAACAAAACAAUAAAUUCAAAAAAAACUCUAGACUAACAAUCAAAAUAAAUGGAAAAACUUAAACACAAAUUAACUAAUAAUAAUUAUGCCAACACAACAAUAAAAAAUAUUCAAAAAAUUCAAAAAAAAAACUAUAGACUUUAGGAAUCAAAUAUGCUUACUUUAAUAAUGUGUUGAAUUCAAUACUUUAUCUACAUUACAAAAAAUACACCAAAACAAAAAACAUAACAAAAAAAAAUAGCAAAAAAAAAACCCCUAAAGUAAAAUGAAAUAGAAGACACACAUACCUUUUAAACUGAUGAAGAUUCACAAGAAAACUUGCUAGAGAUGGUAGGUGAAAGCUUUGAAGAAUGGAGAGGAAAAAAAUCGAAAUUUAAGGUGAAAAACGGAGGAGAAGAAAAAAUGAACUGAAGGGGCGGUCGCUGGAACUUAUAUGGCAGUUUUACCGACGGAUUCACCGAGGGAUAUAAAAUUAAUUAUUAUUUUAAUUUAUUCUGUCAGUGAAGUGUCAAAAAUCCGUCGGUAAUUUUUAAAUUUCGCACCAAAAUUUUUAAUGACCCUCCAUAUUUUUCGUGGUCUGUCGGUAAUUUCGUCGGCAAGAUGACGCGGUCAGAGAUGCAUUUAAUGCACAAUCUUUUGGAAUUCGCACAGUCCGUCGGCAAUUUUGUCGGUAAAAUUGACCUGCCGACAACUUACCGACGGACUUAUAUCCGUCGGUAUUGUCGUCAGUGAUUGUGGCAUUUCAAGUAAUUAUUUUCGAACUCUCUGUGAAAUGCCGACGGACUUAUUCUGUUAGUAUGGACGUCGGUGAUUGUGGCAUUUCAAGUAAUUAUUUCAAGUAAUAAAUAUUUCAUGUUACAAAAUAUAUCAUUCAUAAUCUAAAUUACAUGAAAAAAGGGGUUUUACACAGGGCUUCAUUUUGAUAGUUAGUCAGAAUUUUCUUCUUCUUUGUCCUCAAUUGAAUAGUCAUCACCUUUAUCGCAAUCUUCAAUAUGGAUAUCAUCUUCUUCAUCGACAUUUGCUUGUCCGCUAGAGCUCAAAACAGCAUUCAACUCCUCUACGUGAACAUCAACAAGACUAUCAUCGAAAACAUGAAAAUUUGAAUUUUCUUCCAAUUCAAUCGAAUGAGCAACUCAAUAUGGUUCAACCACCUCACUAACUUGAAAGACUUCAUCUCGCACACUUGUGUCUUCGUUCUCAUCCUGAACAACCUCGACACGACCCCGGGGUUUUGUUUUUAAAACGGACAACCAAUCCACUCUUGAUCGAUCCUUUCUAAAUGAAGGGGUGUAUGUGUAAUAAACUUGUUGACAUUGCUUUGCGAAAACAAAGACAUCGUUUUUGUUGCGGAGUCUAGCUUUUGAGUUGAUUUCGACCAGACCAUAGUGCGGAUCAACUCUGAUUCCUCUGUCAGUCGUGUCAUACCAAUAACAUUUGAAUAAAAACACUUUAUUCUACUCGUUAUGAUAUUGCAGUUCGACGACCUCUUCUAAUCUACCAUAGUAGUCAACUUCUAACUCACUACUAGUGGAUCCCUUAACACAAACACCGCUGUUGUAUGUCUUUCUUCCUUGCCCGUAUUCUUCAGUAUGGAAAACAUAUCCAUUGACAAAAUACCCGUUGUAGCACUUACAUUUUCUUUCAGGCCCCAGGCUUAGUGAAGACAAUGACUUAGGCGCACUCCUUCCCAUUUGAUAAACCUUGUAUGUAAUGUACAUCAAUAAAUAGUAAAUGAACGAGAAUCUCAUAAUGACAUGCAUACGUACAGUAAUUUUGCAAGUUAGAAUGAGUUUGUGAUAGUGCUUACAUGUGUUCUAGACCACGUGACAAAGUGUUCAUCUUGUAAUUGAAAGAUCUGGGAUUCGGUCAGCUAUGAGUUAUUGGAGAGCAAAUAUUGUCGAUGUUGCCUGCAAGUGAUAAUGAGUGUAUGAUAUUAUAAUAAAUAAUUAAUAGUAUAUUACUAACAAAGUUUAAUUACUAUACACAUAUAUAUAUAUAAACCUUACUGAAUAAAAGGUCUCAGCUCAUCACAGUUAAAUAUAACAUAUUUGUGUGCUUAUUUGAACUCUAUUUCCGACAAAUAUCUUCCUCUUACGCCAUUUUUAGGUGUGGGUCGUCCAGUGUUAGAGAAUAUUGACAAGUUUCCACUGGAAGGCACUUCACCGCCAUCAUCAUACCGUGGAACGCGAUUGAUUCUCAUUCUUAGAUGAGGUUCGAAAUAGUACGAUAUAAAUGUUGAGAUCUCCUCAACAAUAUAGGCCUCACAUAUCGAAGCCUCAACGUGCGCCUUGUUCUUAACCUUUUUCUUGAGAUUAAACAAGUACCUGCAUUGAAUUAAUCAAGUAUUUUCAAUUAAGAAAAACAUAGAAAAUACUUUUAUAUAUGAAUUACAUUGCAACUGUAAUAUCUAACAGUUCGAAUGGGUACAUCCAUCUAUAUUGGACCGGUCCUCCAGCUUUUGCCUAGAACGGUAGAUGUAUAGGGAGAUGCUCCAUUGAGUCAAAAAAUGAUGGAGGGAAUAUCAUCUCAAGUUUGCAUAGUGUCUCAACGAUAUUCGUUUGAAGCCUCUCAAUGUGCUCAACAUUCAACUUGCUGGAGCAUAUAUCUCUGAAGAAAUGACUGAUCUCCGUAAGUGCAUCUCAUAUUCCCUUUGGCAACAAAUCACGAAAAGCUAAUGGGAUGAGUGUUUGCAUAAACACGUGGCAGUCAUGACUCUUCAUUCCAUACAAUCUGCAGUCCUCUAUAUUAACCAGCCUUGAUAUGUUUGAUGCAUGUCCAUCUAGAAAACGUAGACUCUUAAGCCAUUUAUAGACUAGCAGUUGUGCGUUUUUCUCUAACACGAAGCUUGCUCUUGGUUUUGCGACCUGUGACUCAUCAUAAAACAACUCCAUAUUUUUACGGUUACAGUAUAAAGCUAUAUCCAAUCUAGCCUUGAUGUUGUCCUUUGUCUUCCCCUUCACAUCCAUGACGGUGUUGAAAAUGUUCUCAAACACGUUCUUUUCGAUGUGCAUGACGUCAAGGUUAUUGCGGAGCAUAUUGGUCUUCCAAUAAGCAAGCUCCCAAAAGAUACUUCGCUUUACCCAAUUAUGGGUCAAACCAAAACCAGGAAACUUUUGCUUACCUGAUUGAAGGCCAAACACAAUGUCACCGUACUCUGAUACAACAUCAUGCAAUUCUUCACCAGAAAGACGCGGGGAUGCAACAUCUUUUUCAACUCUGCCAACAAAGAAAUCUUUUCUGUUCUUUCUAUACCUGUGAUUAAGUGGCAAGAAACGACGGUGACAGUAAAAAAAAGAAGCUUUACCUCCGUUUGCUAGCGUGAAUGCCUUGUUGUUUUCCAUGCAGUAUGGACAUGCGAGUUUCUCAUGCGUGCUCCAACCAGAAAGCAUUCUAUAAGCUGGAAAAUCAUUGAUAGUCCACAUCAAAGCAGCCCUCAUAAGGAAAUUUUGUUUCCUCGAUAUAUCAUAAGUCAGAGCUCUGGAGGACCACAACUGCGCCAACUCAUCAAUCAACGAUCGAAGACAAACAUCUAUAUUCCGCCCUGGGCUGCUUGGACCGGGUAUGACAGUAGAUAAAAACAUGAACUCCGGCCUCAUACACAUUCCCGGUGGCAAGUUAUAAACUGUGAGUAUGACCGGCCAACAAGAAUAAGGAGCAGCAAAUGACCCAAAUGGGUUGAAUCCGUCUGUACACAACCGAAGACGCACAUUCCUUGAUUCAGCUGAAAAGUGAGGAUGAAGACUGUUAAAGCAUUUCCAUGCUUCGCCAUCAGAAGGAUGCACCAUCACUCUAUCAACCGCAUUAUGUGCUUGGUGCCAUGUCAUGUGCUCAGCAGUCCUUGGUGACAUGAAUAACCUCUACAGUCUAGGUGUGAUCGGGAAGUAUCUAAGUUUUUUAUAUGCCACUAGAGUCUUUCCCCUGCCAGUUCUCGGUUUGUAACGGGAAUGCCCGCAUGUCAUGCACUCUGUCCUCUCAGCAUUUUCAAGGUAGUAUAACAUGCAGAAGUUAGGGCACAUGUCAAUUUUCUGGUAUCCUAAACCGAGGGGUUUCAUCAUGGACUUCGCAGCAUAGAAGUUCUCUUUCAGCCUGUCCCCUUCAAGUAAAAUUCUUCUCACCCAUUCAAUAAUGUUGUCAUACCCGACCUCACUCAACCCGUGAUCUGACUUGAUGGUGAACACCUGUGCUAGGGCCGAUAAUUUACUGUGGUUCGUGCAGCCAUCCCAUAAUGGUUCAUCAGAAUCUUUCAACAAAUCAAAAAACCUAGCUGCAUCUGCAUUAGGUUCUUCUUCUACGAUUCGACAUUGACUGACAUUACCUUGAUUCAUUCUCAUUGCAUCCAUAACUAUAUUUAUGUAAGGAUUAGUGUUGUCAUUUGCCGCUUCAUGCACGUUGCUAGCACUAGAAGUAGACCCAACCACCGUUUCUCCCAUUCUCCUCUUACUAACAAAUACUUCUCCAUGUGCAUACCAACACUGGUAAUUCUCCAUAAACCCUUUGUGUAGAAGAUGCAUCAUUACAACAUCUGGAUGCAGAUAUUUUUUAUUUUGACACUUCCUGCAUGGACACCUAAUACCGCCUCUAGUAAAAUUUAUCGGAAUAGAUGUUGCGAAAUUAAUAAAACCUUGAACCCCGUUACAAUAAUCAAUCCUCCGCAAUCCUUGGGGUGAAUCUCAAUACAUCCAUGAACGAUCAUCCAUGACUUAUAUCGAACCUCUAUAAAAUUAUGAUGACAUCAUGUAUUAAUUAACUAAGUUAGGUAAAUAAACUUGUAAAAAUAUUACUUUACCUCGAGAUUAUCCAACAAACCAAUCACAACUUCUCAUAAAUAUUAAAUAUUCAUUAUCAUUUAUCAACGUCCAUACAAAUUAAUAUAUAUAAAUUUACAGAAAUUACCACUCUGCAAUACCAUUAAUAAAACUUUAAACAGACCCAUUAAGCAAGCUAUUAAUUAUUUCAAAACAACACAUGUAAUUCAGUAAUUCCAUAAAGUUUUAACAAUUUACAAACAAAUACAAUCUUACAAAAUCUAAAACAAACCAUAACAGGUAUAGAAUUAUACAUUCAUAUACUACAAGUUUGUUUGAGAAAUAACAAUAAAACAUGUACAUCUACUAACAAAAUACAUAUACUAAAAAAACAAUAAAAUUGACAUUUAAAUGUUAAAAUUUAAAAAGAUAGAAUUACUUACAAAAAUUGAUAAAAUCCGUCGGUAAAUCAGAAUAUGGAUGUUGUGACCACAAAACUUUCAAGAAAUAUAACUUGUUGUGCUGAGAUGAGGGAGAUUUUUGUUUGGGGGGGGGAGGGGGGCUGGUUGUUUGCAGAUGGGGAGAGUUGGGAUUAGGAAGAAGAAGGAGAAAUAGGGGAGGAGAGGGUCGGUAGAGAGGGCAUUUAUUAACUUUUUCCGACGGUUUCACCGAUGAAAUUAUCAAUUGAUGAGUCCGCCAGCUAUUCUGACGGAAAAAUCGACACGUCACCGUAUGGAUCUUCCAUUUCGAAUCCCUCGGUGAUUCCGUCGGUAUUUCAAGCAGUGAACCGGUCACGUCACCGUACGGAUCUGCCAUUUCGAAUCCCUCGGUGAUUUCGUCAGCAUUUUAAACGGCGAACCGGUCACGUCACUGUGUGGGGUUGUCGUUUUGAAUCCGUCGGUAAAAAUAACCCCGCCAAAACCUCUACGUUUGCGACCCGCCUUUUUUUUUAAAUUCAAAACGUUUUCCGUCCGUAAUUCAGUCGGUAACUACCGACGGACACUUGUUGUCGGUAGUUACCGACUGAAUUACGGACGGAAAGGUUUUUGUCGGUAAUUUCGACCUCAAAUUACUGACAGAAAUAUUCCGUCGGUAAAUCCGUUGCUAUUGAGUGAAUUUCUAGUUGUGAAAGGGGCGCAUACGUACCACCCAUCUGUGAUCUCAAUCCAUGGCCAUUCUACGGGUUCAUCAUAAUCCGCAUAGAGUCGUUCAUAUUCUUCAAUGAGAUGGGUCGUAUGUUGUUCCAAGGUCGCGAACUCCUGAGACUGGGUGGUCAAUAUCGAUUGCAAGCUCCCAACGGUUGAGACACUACGGGCCACCUACAAGUUGGUCGUGGAGUUGGAGAGUUUGUACACCUGAUUUCUAUCGGGUCCACCAGAUGAUCCUGCCUCCAUCCACAAAUCCAGAUCGAAAUCCAAGUGGGUCGAAGGAUCGUUCCCGUAUCUCUCCCUCAAUCGGCUGUUAUAUGUCUCCUGAAAAUAAAAAAACUGAAAUCAUCAAAUUUAAUUCAAGUAAAUAAUAAUUUACAAAAGAAAAUGGUUGAACGAACAUACCAUAAAGUGUUGAGCGUAGUAGUCAACGAACUGUUGCACCUCUUUUUGGCAGUCUUCACUCUACACGUGCGUCUCCACAAAAAGCUCCAUUGGGCUUGGCUCACGUCCAAGAGCUGUAGUCUGUAAGAAAAAAAUGUUGCAAGUAAAAUAAAUUUAUAAAUAACAACAAAUUAAUUAAAGAUAAAUGUGAUUAAAAUUAAUUUUUUUGUUAUUUUUUAGGCUUUGUUUGGAAAAACAAAACCUAAUUUUUUUGUAAUAAAACUGUCGAAACAAGCAUAAUGGGGUGUUUGCCAAACACACCCUUAAACCAAAAAACCCUUUUAGCAAAAAUAUUGCAAGCUAAACAGGGUCUUAACCCUUUGACCCAUUCUUGACCCAUCUGGGUUGACCUGAUCGAGUUGACCUGACUGGGAUGACCCAAAAUCUUUGGUUUCAACCAUAAAUCGAACCAAAGAUCCUGGUUUGACCCGAAAACAACUCAAAAAGAAAACAAAAGCCAAAAAACAGAUUAAACACCAAAAAACAUGAAAAAACUCGAAAAUAACAAAUCAAAUGCAAAAAAAAAUGAAGAACACGAAUAACAUGAAAAACAUUAAAACUCAAAUUCUAGCAACAUGAAUUCUAAUCUAGACCAUAUUUCAGGAAAUAAAAAGCACAUAAAGGAUGGAAAUCAAUCAUUGAACAAUAAUUAAGCAUCAAGCAUCGAUGAUUAUCAACCAAUAAUCAUGAUUGAGUCAAAAUAGGUUUUGGUUCAAAACCAAAAUCCUAUGAUUAAAACCCCCAUAAAACUUGUUAUUGAUACAAAUGAACUCUAGACUACUAAUUAAUCAAGUCCAAUGAAGUGUUUAAUGCAAUGGACCAAAACUGGUCCAAAACAUAGAUAUAAGCCAAUGUUUUUCCCAAGAACAUAGAACACUGCCUUAGAAAACCCGGCUAUUGUCAAGCCACCAAAACUGGCAUUUUCGACCACUAAAACAUGCUUUCUUCGUUUCAAAAAGUCACACUACCAUAACCAAACAUGUUUGAAUAAAAAAACUAACAAAUAACAUUAAAAUCAUGCAAGAGGUUCCAAACUUCAAAACUACAAACUUAAAAUAGCCUAUAUAUUUAUGCAAUUUGGAUUCAAUUUUUUUUCCUAAACCUUCAAUAAGACCCAACCAAAACCUAGAAACUAAGAACAUGCAUCAGCCAACAUAAAAAAACAUCAUAACCUUGCUACCACAUCUAGUAGAUUUCAAAAGUACUUUAUUUCAUCAAAACUCAUCCAACAAACAUCACCUAAGUAUUCAGAGACAUUAACAAACAACUCAAAUCAAGAUUUAAACAAUAAAACAACUUUUUUAUGUAUUAAUCAAAAUCAAAACUAAAGAACAUCAUAACAGUAAAGCAAGUUUGAAAACAUCAUUAAACAUGUAAAACAAGUGACUCGACUAACUCGGAAGGAAGUUAAGUUUGAAUGGUCAAAAGAGUGUGAAACAAGUUUUCAAGAGUUAAAAUCCAGGCUAACUUCAACCCAGUAUUGGCUUUACCAAAAGGACAUGAGGGAUUUGUUAUGUAUAGGGAUGCUUCCAAUAAGGGUUUGAGUUGUGUAUUUAUGCAGCACGGAAGGGUAAUUGCUUAUGCAUCUAGAUAGUUGAAACCACAUGAGAUAAACUAUCAUGUACAUGAUUUGGAGCUGGCAGCUGUGGUGUUUGCUUUGAGGAUAUGGAGACAUUAUUUGUACGCGAUAUAGGAGAUGGAUGGAGCUAAUCAAAGAUUAUUACAGAUCACAAAAGUUUAAAAUAUUUGAUGUCAUAAAAAGAAUUGAAUAUGUGAUAUAGGAGAUGGAUGGAGCUAAUCAAAGAUUAUAAUUGUAUUAUUGACUAUCACCCGGGGAAAGCAAAUGUGGUGGUAGAUGCUCUAAGUCGGAAGAAUAAAGCUUUUAUUAGUGGUUUACUAGUGCUAAGUGAGCUAAAUGUGCAUUUGGAUGUGACUUCAGGAGGAAUAUUACUGGCAACAUUAGUGCUAUAAUCAGAUAUGAGAGAAAAGAUUCGAAAAGCUCAAGGUGAAGAUCCUGAAGUGAUAAAAGAAAUGAACAAUGUAAAAGUAGGCCAAGACUCUUUAUUUCGAGUGUCAAAAGAUGGGCUAGUUAUGGGAAACAUAAUAUAUUUACCUGAUGAUAAGGUUUUAAAAAGUGAAGUCUUAAAAGAAGCUCAUGAGUCUAAAUUGACGAUCCAUCUAGGGAGCACGAAAAUGUAUAGAGAUUUGAAGGAGAGUUACUGGUGGCCAAAAAUGAAAAGGGAGAUAACAUAAUACGUGGCCAAAUGUGCCAUAUAUCUACAGGUGAAUGUAGAGCAUCAAUGGCCGAUUGGAGAAUUACAAUCUCUUUCGAUUCCAGAAUGGAAAUGGGAGAAUAUCACUAUGAAUUUUGUAUCUAGCUGGUAAGGACUUGAUGCCAUAUGGGUGAUCGUGGAUAGACUGACAAAGUCUUCUUUGUUUUUGCCUAUGAAGAUAGGGGAUUCGGUUGAAUAACUAGCUCAAUUAUAUAUUAAAGAGGUGGUGAGAUUGCAUGGUGUACCAGUUUCUAUAGUUUUUGAUAGGGAUCCUUGGUUUACAUCAAGGUUAUGGCCGAGUAUACAAUGGGCUUUGGGUACCAUAUUGAAUUUAAGAAUGACUUUUCAUCCACAGACUGAUGGGCAAUCUGAAAAGACAAUUUAGAUUUUGGAAGAUUUGUUAUAGCUUGUAUUCUAGAGUUUGGAGGUCAAUGGGAGGAUCAUUUGCCAUUAGUAGAAUUUACUUAUAAUAAUAGUUAUCAAUCUACUAUUGGCAUGAAACCAUAUGAAGCAUUGUAUGAAAGGUGAUGUCGAACUACAGUACGUUGGGAUGAAGUUCGGGAAAGAAAAUUAUUGGGAUCUGAACUGGUGCAGAUCAUGGUUGAUAAGGUGAAGGGGAUAAAGUAAAGGAUGAAAGAAGCUCAAGACCGGUAAAAGAGUUGUGCUGAUAAUUGACGGAGACCUCUAGAGUUUCAAAUUGGAGAUAUGGUAUUUUUAAAAGUUGCACCAUGGAAGCAUGUGAUUCGGUUUGGAAUGAAAGGCAAAUUAGCACCCAGGUAUAUCGGGCCAUAUAAAAUUAUAGAAAGAAUUGGGAUGGUUGCCUAUCGAAUAAUCCAAUCCUUAGAUUGAGCUGAAAUUUUACGAGGGACUUUAAAAUAUAUUGAAUAAAAUUUGGUUAAAAUUUUAGGAUGAACAGAGCUCGGUGUUGCUUAAAAAAAAUUAGGACCUUCAAAUAGAAGCAAAAUGACUCAUUAAGGGUAAAAUGAUUAUUUGCCAUUAAAAAUAAAACAAAUCAGCUCUCCUUUCCUUUUAUAUGCUGCCGACUGGGCAGAAGCAGAGUGGGAAAAGAAGAAAAGAAAAAAAGCGAGUGAGAAAGAGAGAAAAGUAAGGAAAAAAUAAGAAAAGUGAGAGAAUAAUCUUGUAAACUUACAAAGUCCAACUUAUAAAACACUAAUCUAAGGAAGAAUCAAGUGAAGGAAGGAGGAUUUGAGAGAGAGAAUUUGGCUAACCUUGGGAGAGAAGAGAAAUUGGAAGAAAGUCAAUUAGUAAGUAUGAGAAGUUUGGAUUUAAUGUUUGAUUUAGAUGUUUUUAAGCUAACUCGAUUAAGUUAGGAAGUAAUUUCAUGGAAUUUUACUUUAAUUUCCCUUAAAUCCUUGAUUCUUGAACUUAGGAUUCUUAUGGGAAUUUGGGGGAAUUAGAAAGGGAAGGAAAAAUGAUGAAGUAAGUGGAAUAGCAUGAAAACAAGUUGAAAUAACAAGUAAAUGAAGAAAAAUUUGGGGGAGGAAAAAGAAGAUGACAUUUGGCCAAAUGAAGGAAAAGUGGAGGAAUGAGUUUUGAUGUUAAUGUUUAGGAAACUAUGUUUAAUCAUGAUAUUUGAAAUAUACAAGAAAGACUAAAUGAAGAAAUAACAUUAAAGUUGAGAAAAAUAAGUAAAUUCAAUUUAAAAGAGAAUUGAACUAGUUAAAAAGAAAGUAUGAAGACAAGAUGUUUAGAUUGUGUUUGAAUAUAGUUCUUACAUAUGUUUAGAUAAAAUAAAUAAUAUGAUGUGAAGGCAUAAAGAAUAGAAGGAUUAUUUGAUGGAAGAAUUAUGAACAUAAAGUAAGAAAAGAAGUCAAAAAGGUCAUUCUCAGUCUUCACACUUCAUGCACAAGGAAAUAAUAUGUUUAAUUCGUCAAUCGACUCAUAGCCAACACUGUAACAAAUGUUUGGGAUGAAGGGAAAAGUAUAGAUUUUUCUCAUUAGAGAAAGAAACUGCAUAAAAUGUGAAUGCUGUAAUUAUUUUCAAAGAACUUAACCAUAAAUCCACCCUUCUUGCAAGGAACAAAGCCUUCUUCCCUAUAUUUUCAAAGAAUGCUAUAAUUAUUAUGGUGAAUCAUGCAAGCAUAUCCCACUACCAGAAAAUUGAUAAAUACAAACGGAAAUACCGAGGGAAUAUUUCCGUCGGUAAAUUUCCGAGGGAUUUUACCGACGGAAAUAUUCCCUCGGUAUAUACCGAGGGAAUUACCGUGGGAAAAAAAAUUAAAACAAAGCAAAAAAAAAAUGAUGACGUGUCAUUUUUACCAACGGAAUUACCAACAGAAUUACCGACGGAAUAAAUUCCGUCGGUGAUUCCGUUGGAAAAUUUGUUGGUAAAUUGUGAACACUGUUCAUCAUGUUAAUUACAAAGGGAAUCACCGACGGAAUAUUCCGUCGGUAUUUUCCAGAGGGAAAAGUCGUCGGUGUUAUUUGGCGGUUUUCUGAAAAAAUUCAAUUAAUUUAAAAUUUUCAUUUAAAUAUUACAGACGGAAUCACCGACGGAUUGAAAAAUCAUCGGUAAUUUUUUGGCGGUUUCUGAAAAAAUUUUACGAAAUUGAAAAUUUAAAUUAAAUAUUACCGAUGGAAUUACCGACGGAAUAAUUAAAAAAUAUUAAUAUUUAAUUAUCCGUCGGUAAAUCCGUCGGUAAAGCGUCCCAAUAAAAAGCCUGAAUGCCCUUAUUUCACAAGAGACAGACCCGUUUCUUAUUAUUAUUCUUCUUCUUGUUCUUCUACUUCUUCUUCUUCUUCUUCUUCUUCUUCACUAUAUGUAAAAAACAUCAUUAAGGUAUGUCUUCUUCUUCUUCUUCACUUUAUGUAAAAAACAUCAUUUCUUAUCUAUUUCUUUCUCUUCUUUUCUCUCCUCAUCUCCUUCUCUUUUCCUCCAUGCUUGGAUAUGUCUUUUUCUUCUUUCUUCUUUUAUCCUCUUAGUUUUUUUUUAAUUAAUAUGCUUAAUGAAAUUUUUUUUCUCUCCUUAGCUUCACUUGCAACUACAUUAAGGUAAGAUUUUUCUUUUUUCUUCUUUUUUCAUGAUUUGUUUCACUAUAUUUGUUCUUUAUUUUAUUUUUAAUUGUUUUUGUUCUUAAUAAUUGUAUAAAUGUUGUUGUGAGAUGUUUUUUUCAUAUGAGAUCAAUUUUUAGUAGAUUUAUUUAUAGGAUUUUUAAAUUUUUAGCAAUUGCAACUUCAUUUUUUUCAUAUGAAUUUUUUUAGUUGAAUUUAUUUUUUUAUUUUAUUUAUUUGUUGCAAAUUUGUUUGAAUUGAUUUUCUUAUUCUUUUUUCCAAGCAUUUUGAGUAUAUAUUAUACAGUGUUAAUUUAUGUCAAUUUAAUUAUUUUAUAAUUUUAUAAAAUGAAUUUUUUUAAAAUGUUUUUCAAUAAUUACCGACGGAAUUACCGACGGAAGUUCCGUCGGUAAUUCCGUCGGUACAUCCCUCGGUAAUUCUGUUGGUAAUAAAAAAAUUAUUACCGACGCGUCUGUUCCGUCAGUAAAUCCAUCGGUAAUUCUAUUACCAACAGAUUUACCGACGAACGAUUCACCGACGAAUCAUUUCCGUCUUUGAUUCCGUCGGUAAUAUAAUUACCGAUGAAAUAUGUGUCUUACACCGACGGAAAAAUUCCGUCGGUAAAACUGUUAAAUCUUGUAGUGUCCAGAAUGAUUUGAUAUUUCUUAAUUGAAUUUUGGAAAAGUCGUGAUACUUGGUAAAGCCUUUGGAUAGUUUCUCUGAGAUGUGAUGGAAUUAACAACAUAUUGAGAAUAAUAAAAAAGAAAAAGCAACUGAAUCAAUGAUCAAAAGUUGUGAAAAUUAUAUCUUUCUUUGAAGAUUUUGAUUUUGACCACAGUGAACCUAUAAGCUUAGAUAGAGAGGGCUUCUAUGAUUUCUAUAUAUACGGACUAGCUUGGCUUCAAACCAUAUGUACAAGUCAAGCUCAAACUCAGAACCUACUUAAACUGUUUCUUCUUCUUAUUUUUUAGUGUCAUUUUGCAAAUGGCUCGCCAAGCAGAUCGCCUUUACAAGAUUGGGUUAAAAGGGUUUGCACUAAUAGACGAGUGGUACGGGUGCCCUAGGAGGUCUUCAACUCCUCAAGAGCACCAUCAGCAACGAUAUGAUUAUGGUGGAAUCCAAGUUCCCAUGAUGAAAAUGGAUGUUAUCAACAACAAGGAGGCAGCUAAACAUUAUGGUGGGGUGGUGAUUAUGGAUUAUCGAAAGAAAAAAUUACUCUAUUGAGCUCUUUAGUGAUAAUGUAUUGGGCCUUGCUUUGCUUGGUUAAGUUAAUUACCAAGCAUAAUUAAGUCGUUUUUAACUUUAUUGUUUUCUUCUUCUUUUUCCUAUGUUUGUGUGUGUGUAUGCCAAUUGUUUUAGAGUCAGCUACUCCAAAACAUGAAAAAGUAUGAGUGCCUUAAAGUGAAUUGUUGCACCUCUUAUUUCUCUAUGAUUACGAUUGUUGGGUUUCUUGAAAUACAUGACAUAGUGAAAAUAGUUUUUUCAAGUCUCAUGUAUCUCAUUAAACAACAUAAACUUAUUUAAGAUUUGUGCGAAAAUUGUAUGAAGAUAGUUCUUCCUCCUAGAAUUUGAUCAACACUUGAAGGCUGCAUUCUCGUAAAUCAAGUCCUUACUUGAUUUUUCUAAAUCUAGAAUUUUAAUCUCAUGUGCUAAUUAUAUUAUAGUUUUCANNNNNNNNNNNNNNNNNNNNNNNNNNNNNNNNNNNNNNNNNNNNNNNNNNNNNNNNNNNNNNNNNNNNNNNNNNNNNNNNNNNNNNNNNNNNNNNNNNNNAAAAAUGUAUUAUUCUGUAUUUGUAAUCUUAGUUUGUUUACUUGCAAUUGUUAUGAAUUAUGUGUGUUAAUGGGAAAGAAAUGAGCAUGCGAAAUGUGAGGCAUGUACCAUGAAUGAUGUGUUGUCAAGGUUCUACAUGAUUAUGAUAUGAUUGAGAAAUGAGUAUAACUAUACAGGAUGAUUGUCGAUAACUUGGGACCUCCAGGUAUAAAGGAAACUCUGCCGAAAUUUCAGUGGAAAUUUUGGCAACUCUCGGAUAAGUUCGGUGGAUGAAAAAAAAAAAUACCCAUUUUUUUAAAAGUUAAGGCUCAAAGUACUUUGAUGAAUGUACUAAAUUACAGGGUGUUACAAUUUCUGUAUCGGAUUCUUCAAGGAUAGUUUAAAUGUCUCAAAAGUUUAAAAUUUAAAAUAAAUUUAAAAAAAAUAAUUAGGAUUGCUGUUUUGGAUUUUUCAAGGAUAGUUAAAAGUCUUAAAAUUAUAACAUUCAAAAGAAUUUAAACAAAGGAAUUAGGAUUUCUGUUUUGGAUUCUUCAAGGAUAGUUUAAANNNNNNNNNNNNNNNNNNNNNNNNNNNNNNNNNNNNNNNNNNNNNNNNNNNNNNNNNNNNNNNNNNNNNNNNNNNNNNNNNNNNNNNNNNNNNNNNNNNNUCGCCGCGUCGCCGCGCACCCCGCUAUAAUUAUUAUGGUGAAUCAUGCAUGCAUAUCCAGAAUGAUUUGAUAUUUCUUAAUUGAAUUUUGGAAAAGUCGUGAUACUUGGUAAAGCCUUUGGAUAGUUUCUCUGAGAUGUGAUGGAAUUAACAACAUAUUGAGAAUAAUAAAAAAGAAAAAGCAACGGAAUCAAUGAUCAAAAGUUGUGAAAAUUAUAUCUUUCUUUGAAGAUUUUGAUUUUGACCACAGUGAACCUAUAAGCUUAGAUAGAGAGGGCUUCUAUGAUUUCUAUAUAUACGGACUAGCUUGGCUUCAAACCAUAUGUACAAGUCAAGCUCAAACUCAGAACCUACUUAAACUGUUUCUUCUUCUUAUUUUUUAGUGUCAUUUUGCAAAUGGCUCGCCAAGCAGAUCGCCUUUACAAGAUUGGGUUGGAAGGGUUUGCACUAAUAGACGAGUGGUACGGGUACCCUAGGAGGUCUUCAACUCCUCAAGAGCACCAUCAGCAACGAUAUGAUUAUGGUGGAAUCCAAGUUCCCAUGAUGAAAAUGGAUGUUAUCAACAACAAGGAGGCAGCUAAACAUUAUGGUGGGGUGGUGAUUAUGGAUUAUCGAAAGAAAAAAUUACUCUAUUGAGCUCUUUAGUGAUAAUGUAUUGGGCCUUGCUUUGCUUGGUUAAGUUAAUUACCAAGCAUAAUUAAGUCAUUUUUAACUUUAUUGUUUUCUUCUUUUUUUUCCUAUGUUUGUGUGUGUAUGCCAAUUGUUUUAGAGUCAGCUACUCCAAAACAUGAAAAAGUACGAGUGCCUUAAAGUGAUUUGCUGCACCUCUUAUUUCUCUAUGAUUACGUUCUUGGGUUUCUUGAAAUACAUGACAUAGUGAAAAUAGUUUUUUCAAGUCUCAUGGAUCUCAUUAAACAACAUAAACUUAUUUAGGAUUUGUGCGAAAAUUGUAUGAAGAUAGUUCUUCCUCCUAGAAUUUGAUCAACACUUGAAGGCUGCAUUUUCGUAAAUCAAGUCCUUACUUGAUUUUUCUAAAUCUAGAAUUUUAAUCUCAUGUGCUAAUUAUAUUAUAGUUUUCAAUUUCUAAAACUUAUUUACAAUCAAUUUGUUAUUAUCUACUUUUGACUCCACAAAAAAUCAAGAAAAGAAAGAGAAAAUAGAAAGAGAAAAUCCAAAAUACAAGAAGAUAUACAUGAAAAAAAAACAUAAAAGAUUACUUAAGUUGAUGGUGAAGGACCAAAUUACAUGUGGAAAAGUUGAAGGACCAAAAUAUACAAAACUACUAUAAUUAACAACUCAAUUCCAAUUGACAAAGGGCCCCAUUGGUGAAAAUAUUUCUAUUAGGGUAAAGAAAUACAAAUUUGGAUAGGUAAGGACUUAAUGAGAAUUUUGGAAGGCUUAAUUAAUUUUAUUGAGGACUUGAUUACUGGGAAAAUCAGUUUUUAGAGUCAAUUUGGGUGUUAAUUGAAAUAAAUUAAAGUCCAUAGACUUAAUUGGUUUUUUAGGAGGUUUAAUUGGAUGAAUCAAGGGCUUAAUUGUAAGAAUAUUGAAGUUUGGUAGGUAAUUAGGGACUUGAUUGAAGAAAUCUAAAACCAAGGACCAAACUGAAAAAAGGCGCAUGACUGUAGAGACUAAAUUUGACCAAAUUAGGGGCCAAAUUGAAGAAAAUUGAAAGUUUAAUGGUCAAUUAAGGGUCCGAGUGCACAAAUUAGAAACUAAGGACCAAGAUUAAAAUGGCGCUGAACUUUGAGGUUGAUGAUUGAGCUGGACAAGGGUGAAAUUACAUGAAAUUAAGAGUUUGAAGGACAAUUAUAGGUGCAAUUAAAACAAAUUUGAAGAAUAGGGACUAAAGUGAAAAUUUUCAAAUCCCAAAUAAAAAACCCUAAUUUCUAGGGUUUAACCUAGAUGAUGCGUCGUUCGACCAUUGUUUAGUUUUUUGUUGGCAAUUUUGGUUGAUCGAGUAGGCACCUUCAAACGAAUGAAUGUGGCGUUUCCAACCACUUCUAGGGUUGUAACCACCACCAUUUAAUUGAGAAACACCCCAUCUACAAAGAUCAACUACGACCAUCAAGCACUUAUAUCCCAUUUUCUUUAUCGAACUCAACAACAUCUUUUCCUAGUUAGCCAUUACUACAUUUUCAAAUUCUCGGAUAAUCGAGUUGUCGCCUUCAACAAGUGAAUAUGGGGCUACAGACAUCCAAAUUGAACAAGAAUGGACCAAAUCGAAAGGUGUGAUUCUCCUUUAUAAAGUUUAGGUGGUCUCCAAUAACAUUUACGUUGGAGUUGCUCUGGCGUGGCCUCAAAAUUGGUCAACUUAGUCAGUCUUGACUAAGAUACCUAUUUGUACAAAGUCAUUCAACUUUUUCGUGUGUUCACACUUAAAAAAUUUUAGAGGGUUCUUAUCAAGGGUCAUAAAUCUCAUCCAUAAUCAGAAGGUGAGGGAUGCAUGCCUUUGUCUCCAAGAAAAAAAAAACCUCCUAGGUAAUUUUGUUAGAAAACCAUUGUCCCAAAACCAUUGAAAGACAAAGGUUCUGAUUGUUAACAUUUGUCCAGAACUCUCUCAUUUUGAUCAAAGAACUAAGCUUUGAUCGAUCUAUAUUUGAAUCCAUUAAACACCCUAGCAAAACCCUAUAAAUACCCCCUGAAAAAUAAAAAUAAAAAGAGAGAGAGGAAAAACAUGGAAGAAACACACUAUGAAAAGAUCCUGGUGUGAAGGUUCAAGAGCCUAACAUAGAGGGUCUAACAAGCUUUAGAAAAAAUAUAGUGAAAGGGAAAGAGGUAAAUAAAAGAGAAGGAAAAUAGUUCAUAGCUAGCAAGCUUGGAUAAGGUAUAAAUAUGUAGAAAUUCAAGCGUGGAGUCCAUGUGGCCUUCCUUUUCAUGCUUUCUUAAUGUUUAAACCUCUUUUGAUGUUGUUUGAGCUUGUCUUGCAUUUUUUGGUUUGAUUUUGGUGCUGGAAUAAUUUGAUGUAUUUUCAGCAGAGUUUGUUUUAUUAGAUUUCAUUAUGAUAAUUUGUUUUAGUUUUGGUUAAUAAUUUGUUAUUGAGGUUUGCACUAAAGACAUGAUUCUUGGUUUUCACACUUGUUUGAUUAUGUGAUUUUAGCCUAAUAGCAUGAUGAUGAUGUAUUUGAGAUAUUUUGAUUGGUGUUUGAAUCUAUUUUGUAAUUAAACAAUGAGUUGUUUUUGUUUGUGGGUUAAAUAUUUUGGAAGCAUGUUGAUUAAUUUGAUGAUUUUAGUGCAAGUUCAUGGUUUAUACAAGUAUGUUUUGGCAUAUAGAUGUUAAAAAUAUCAAGUUUUGAAUCCAAAUAGCAUGAAUAUGCUUGUUGAUUAUCUUUAGUAGUUUUGAACUUUGGAACUUAAUGCAUGUUAUUGAUGACUUUAUUUUAUUUGUUAGUUCUUUGAAUUCAACAAUGCUUAAUAUUGAUAAUAUGGUUUGCAAGGACCAAAAGAAACAUGUUUUAGAAGCCUUAGAGGCUAGUUUUGGGUUUAAUAGUAGGUUGGGAACUUUUAGGUUGCUGGGUUUGGUUUUUUCAUGUUCUUGGAAAGAAAAUUGCCUUAGCACUAUGAUUUAGAUCAAUUUUGGUCCCUUUGUUUACACUAAACCAUUCAGGGGACUUAACUAGUAGAUAAUAUAGGGUUUAUUUGCAUUAAUAACAAGUGUAUGGGUUUUUAAUCCUAAGAUUUUGGUUUUUAACCGAAACCCAUUUUCACAAAAUCACGUUAAUUCUUUGAUAAUCGAAGUAAUGGAUGCUAGAUUAUGGAUCCUUGCAUGAUUUCAAAUAAAACCUUGCCCUUGAUUGCAUGAAAACUUGACUGGAUUAAGAUUUGUGUUUGUUGGUUUGUUGAUGAAUGCUCUUUGUGUUCUUCACGAUUUGAGUGUUUGAUCUAUUUUUCUGCAAAUUUUUUUUUAUGUUUUGUGUUAAUUUUCAACUUUGAUUUUGUUUCAGGUUAAACCUUUGUUUGAGUUUACUUUUCAGAUCAAACCUUGUUUUUUGGUUCAGUUCAUGGUUAAACUAGUGUCUUUGGGUCGACCCGUUUGGUUUUGUUUUAGGUCAAGUACUUAAGGCUUUGUUUGUUUGAACAACCUUUUGUGAAGGAUUUUUUUGGCCCAAGAGAAUGUUUGGCAAACACACACUUAAGUGCAUUUUGGUAAUUUCUAGGGAAAGAAAAGAUGGUUUUGCCAAACAUUGGCUUAUAGAAAUAAACUAGCUAUGUGACCCGCGCUCCACCGCGGGUUAAAUAAUCAAAAAAAUUUAAAAGAGCUCCUAAACAAAAUAAAAGAGAUGAUGUUUUAUCCAGGUUAUAAAAAGGUCCAAAGAUGUUGGGUCUUGGUGGCAGAAGGAUCCAAUUGGGUGUUGGGCCAUGGUGGAGGCAAGGCCCACAACUGUUGGGUCUUGGUGGGAGGACCCAACACGCAAUUGGGUCCUACACCGUCAAGACCCAACAUCCACAUGGGUCCUGCACCUGGCAGGACCUAGAAGGAUGUGGGUCCUGCACCCGGCAGGACCCAACAUGCAAUUGGGUCUUGCACUGUGCAGGACUCGAAGCUAAUUUCGGUCCUGCACCUUGCACGACCCAAAGUUAUUGUGGGUCCUGCGCUAUACUCAAUUGGGUUGGGUCCUGCAUCCUGUAGGACUUAAAGUGCAGGAUCCAACACCCAAUUGGUCCUGCACAUGUCAGGACCUAACACAUAAUAUAUAUAUAUAUAUAUAUAUAUAUAUAUAUAUAUAUAUAUAUAUAUAUAUAUAUAUAUAUAAUUCAAAACUACUGCAUAAAAAUCUAAAGACAAUAAAAUAUUGAUAUAACUUUGAAUCUCAUACACUAAUGUUAUAAAAUUAAAAUAUCUUGUAUUACCUAAAAUAAAAUCUCUUAUAUAAUACUAAAGAUUUAUAAAGUAUAUGAUGUAAAUAAAAAAUUUCUUGAGAUUUCUAUCAACUUUAAUAUGAAAAUAUUAGAGAAUAGAAUUAAAAAUUUUCAACUUUUUUCAAAGUAUUUUUAAAACUAUGAGUCAGGUGCCCUUGUCAACUCUUAGUUUUUUAGGUCUAGAAGGGAAUGUCAGAUCCAUGUUAAUAAUAAUAAUAAUUCAUUUAAUUAUAAUUAAAAUGAAGAAGAAGAAGAUACAAAAAGGAAAUUAAUACAGGUUUGUAAGCCAUGUAAAACACAAUUACUCAAGAUAUUUCAUGGUUUGCAUGCCUCUAGUUUGCGUGCGUGGUUAGGUUUCCCAUCUAUUUUAUGAAUUCACGCAAACCUAUUAUGAUAAUAUUUACAUACCAAGCACUAGAAACUAUAGAAGAAAAAAGAAAAUCUGACAAUAAGAAAAAUAUAUUGGUCUCAUAAUAUCUAUUUAGCCUUACACUUCUGGAAAAAGAUUAAUUUUCCAUCAGCACCAUGGACAUCUGGAAAUUUUUAUUUUUUGAUUUACUUUAAAUUAGUAUUUUUUUGACAUUUUUGUAUUAUUUUUAAAAGAUUGUUUCCAAAAUAUAUAUUUAGAUUGUGUCUUGAAAAUUUUUAAUUUUUUUCUUGACUUUAAAUUUUGAAGACACAAUCUCAACAUAAUUUUUUAAAAGAAAAUAUUUAAAAAAUAAUAGAAAAACAAAGAAAAAAGUAAUUUAAAGUAAAGGAAAAAAAUAAAAAUAUUUCAAGACACAAUUUCAAUAUUUUUUUUCAAACAUAGUAUUUAAAAAACAAUAGCAAAAUAUAAAAAAAAUCAAUUUGAAUUAAAGGAAAAAAUUAAAAAUUUUCAAAUUUCUUGGCUCUUGCUUCACAGUCAGACACAAUCUCAAAAAAAUAAUUUAAAAUCUUUAUUUAAAAAAUAAUAGAAAAACAUAGAAAAAAAAAUUUAAGUAAAGAAAAAAAUUAAAAAUUUUCAAGACACAAUCUCAAUGUAUAUUUUGAAAAAAAAUAUUUUCAAAAUAAUACAAAAAUAUAUAUAAAAAAUUAAUUUAAAGUAAAUUAAAAAUUUUCAAAUUUCUUGGGUCUGGCUUGUCAAAAGUUAUUUCAAAAAUUACAAAUUCAAAAAAUUAAUGUUGUUGGGUCUUUUGGUAGAGAAGGCAACGCCCCCAGCUCUUGGAUCCUAACUCUAAAGGGUUGAGGAGAACCCAAUGUCAUUGGGUCCUGGUGUUAGCAAUACCCAAUAACCCACAGUCAACCACUAUGUUGGGUCUCCCAGUAGCUCUGGGAAGACAAGGCAAAGCCUCCAUCCGUAAAUUUUGACCAAAACCAUAGCAGGGUAUGACCCCCAAGGUGUAUGGCUGCUAGGUCUGGCUGUGUAACCACACCCAAUAUCCUUAGGUAUGGUUGUGCAGCUAAACCCAACACCUUUGGAGGGUGUUAGGUCCUGCACCGUGCAUGACCAAAAUAGCUAUGAUAUAAGUAAUCCAUCCUAGGGACAUCGGCAUAGGAAGAUUGAAAAAAAAACAAAACAAAACAAUUGAUUUCCUUUGGUAAAUGGAUUGGAAAUCCAUGUUAUCACGAAUGUGAGAAUUCAAUCACCCAUACCUCUCUAUAUCUCUACACAUCGUAAAUAUAUAUAUCUUUUUCACUACAAUAUAACACCACCAUUGAAUAUUAAUGCAAGACCAUUGAUCAAUAAGGAUGACUGGCUUCCAGACCCAAUAACCAUACCCAAUUAAAUUUCUUUGUCGUUGUCUUCUCUGAUUUAAAUUUAUUUUUCAAAAUAAAUUGAUGAGAUUUUUUUUAUAUUGUAUAAAAGUUGAGUGAUAAUAUUUUUUUCCCAUUUCAGGUUGGGUUAAAUUUCCUAAUUAAAUCAUGUUUGAUUUUGCGUUUUGAAAAUUCCUUGAAAUUUUUUUGAUAAUUUUUAAGUUUUUUUUCUUUGCUUGAAAUUAAUAUUUUUGUUAUGUUUUUGUAUUAUUUUUUAAAAAAAUAUGUUGAGAUUAUGUCUGGCUGCGACGCUAGACAAAAGAAAUUUUAAAAUUUUUAAUUUUUUUCUUUACUUCAAAAUAUUACUUUCACCAUGUUUUUGUAUAUUUUUUAAAUAUUUUUUUUUUAAAAAAAACAUAUAUUGAGAUUGUGUCUAGUUGAGAGGCAAGACUCAAGAAAUUAAAAACAUUUUCAUUUUUUUAUUUACUUCAAAUUAAUUUUUGUUUAAUAUUUUUUUCUUCAUUUCAAAUUAUUUAGAUAGUGUUUGAUUUUGCAUUUCAAAAAUUGUUUGAAUUUUUUUUGACAAUUUUAAAGCUUUUUUCUUUACUUCAAAUUAAUUUUUUUUUAUGUUUUUGUAUUUUUUUUUUAAAUGUUGGCAUUGUGUUUGUCUGCGAUGCUAGACCCAAUAAAUUUUUAAAUUUUAAUUUUUUUCUUUCCUUCAAAAUAAUAUUUUUUUUUCAUGUUUUUAUAUAUUUUUUAAAAAUAUUGAGAUUUUCUCUGGCUCGUUUUGUGGGGCCUCUAAACCCAAGGAGGGUUAGAACAGACCUCGACGGCUGGGUCUGCACCCAGCGCGUGUGUAAUAGUCCGAACUGUACGACUCGAUCAAUGUUAAAAGAUUCCAACAUAUACUCUUUAUUUGAGGGUAAUGUUUUUUUUUUAUUUCCAAAAAUUCGACAGAGUUUUGUUUGCAUUUAGAACAUCCCAAGUUAUCGACUACUAUCAAUUUACUCAAUCAACCCAUUAUCACAAGGUCCCUUAAUUCCGGACCUUAUAUCAAACCUCAUAAUUCCACACCUCAUACAAUCCACACAAUAUAUAUAUAUAUCCUACGAGUAAGUUCAAUAUGAACAUAGUCCAACACAUCGUAUCAUAAAAUUUAAAGGAAAAGCAAUACUAUCAUGCAAAGAAAGUAUUUACAGUUAAUUACAAGAUAACUAAAAUACUACAUGCUAAGCUAAACCUUUAUAAAUACAUCAAGGUUUGCACAAAAGUAUACUACAUAAACACGUUAAUUCCCUUUUGUUUUAAGUUAAAUAUUUACAUAAGCUUCACAAGGUAGAGUCCUAAACUAAUGAUCUUCCUGGAUGUUUGAUGGACCUGUUACAUAAAUAAACAUACCAUUAUGUUGAUAAAGAAUAUAUGUAUGCUCAUGCAAUGAAUACGAAUGAAGUAUUAACUUUCUAUCGAAUCCAUGAGAAUUCUAACAAAUAACUUAUAUUUUGCUUGUAAAUCUUUUAAACCCAAUUAACACUCAUUUGUAUAUUCUUAAUUGAAUAAUCUUAUUUACUUGCAUAAACUGGGUGACCUUGCAAGGUUUAAUCUUGUAAUUCAUUUCCCGGCAAUCCUAUCAUGGAUGCCAUUAGCCGAAGCUAAUUAUGUAAAUCAUUUCCCGGCAAUCCUAUAACGGAUGCCAUUAGCCGAAGCUAAUCUUGUAAAUACACUAGGCUUUAUUUACAUUGAACACGAUAUUUAUUAUAAUUGCAUUCACCAGAAGGAUUCUAAAUUGUAUAAGUGCAAAUAGGAGGGAAAAUCAUGCACCUGCUUCGUCUGUCUCGCGACCUCCCCUAACAAAAGAUCCAAUCCUAGUUGCUCCUCCUGAAUCACAAGGAAGUUUUUUUUUUUUGGUUAUGAUUCCUUCAAGCCGAUAUUAUAGAGAAUUCAUAUUCAUCCAUUACUCAUAUGUUACUUUCUAUGCAUGUUCAUUUCCUCAUAAUAACAUACAUACAUAUAUCAUGUAUAUUUUCAGAGUUAGUAUCUCAAUAUACAAGUGUUCGUAUGACUCAAUUCUUUUAUAUUCUUAUUUAUAGUAUUCACGUCAAAGUCGUCUGACUUUGAACUGUUACUGUUUGACUUUGAACUGUUACUGUCCAAUUUCCAACUGUUACUGUUUGACUUGGAACUGUUACUGUCUAAACACUCAUCAGAUUUUUAACUAUAUCUAAAGUUCUAAAACUCCAUUUUAAGUGAGAUUGAUCUCGCUAGAAAGCUAAGACACGAGGCUACUAGUUCUCUGAGGAAGGAGAACCUAGUUUUGCCUCCAAGAUAGUCAAAAUUGUUCAUUUACUAAUUAGUCCUACUACCCUACAUAAUUAGUUACGACUCAAUCUCAGUUGGUAACCCAUAACUGGAGUUCUACAUCUCCAAAUUGAGCAAGACCAGUUUCUUUGGUUAGCUAACAUUCAAAUCUACAAUUUCUAUGAGGAACCCGAUCCUAAUCCCCUCAUCCUCCUACCCGAAAUCUCAUCAAAAGUUAGGAGACAAGUCUGUCUAGAUUCGUCUCCCCCUCCCCUUCACACAAUACUUUCAUAAACUACAUACCACACACAUGAAUUAACUUAAUCUCAACAAUAAGUACUUUUUCCCCAAUUUAUGUCUAAGAACCCUAACCUAUGAUUCAAUAUCAAGGCAUCAAUUCUUUAUCGAAUUUAAAAAUGAAUUUUUUUAAGAUCAUGUUUAGAAUACCUUACCCGGUACAAAUUAAGAUUUUGAUCUUCAACCAGUUGAAGAUUUUCAACUCCCUCCUUUCUUUUCUUCUUGUUCAAUUUCUUGGUAAUUUUUUGCUCUCAAGUGUUUAUCCCAUCUAUAAGCUCUUAAUCUUGGAUGGGUUCUUGAAAUUUUAGUGUUUCUCUCUUGAUUUCUCAAGAAUGGGUAUAAACUCCCUAUCUUCUCUUCUUAUGGUUCCUACAGAUUUUUUUGGUGAGGAGAGAGUAUUUAUACUCUAUAUUUUCCCUUAUUUGCAUUUAGGCCCUCCUUUUCCUUUAAGUGUAUUAUUCUCUUCAAUUAAAUCCAACCCUCAACAGUACCGGGUUUAUUAUAAUAUCGCGAAUUAUUUCGCUCGGAAAUUUAUAUUCAAAAAUUUCAGAAUUUCUGUUUUUAUUUAACCAUAUGCAUGAAUUUCAUCACUUUUAUUUAUUUAUUAUUUUUCCCGGGGUUUACAGCGCGGGUCCAGAGGCCAGGAGCGCGGGGUUGCAGACCCUGCCUCGCGGGUAUGCAGACCCCAGGGUCACAAGGCUGCACACUCGCUUGCACUGGGGAUGCAGCCAGGCGCGCGGGUCUGCCUUACCACCUAAGGCAUGGCAGGCCCCGUGCUAGGUGUCUGCAUGCUAGGGCCUUGGCCAGCCCUAGUGCUAGGUGGCAGCAACCUAGAGCGCGAGCAGGCGCACGUGGCCUACCCCACUCCCAAGCCUGACAGCCUAAGCGCCAAGUGUCCCCAGCCUUAGGGGUUGUGCGUCCAGCCAGACACUUGGGGCCCACACUAAUAUUUUUUUCAAAAAAUAUUUUUUAACAAUAAUAGUAAUAAUGAUAAUGAUAUUUGUUAUUAUAUUUUUUUUUUUGCAAUUUCCUUCCAUUUUUAAUAUUAAUACAAGUAAUAAUAUUUAGUAAUAAUAUUUUUUUUAACAUUCAAUGAAAUUAAAAAUAUAAAUAUUUAGAAUAAAAAUAAAAAUAUUUAGACUACAAAUAAAAAUAUUUAUCACAUUAAUAAUAAUAUGAAACUUGUUUGACCAAAGUUGAUAAAAUAAUAUUUUUUUUAAAAAAAAUUAUUAACAAUAAUAAUAACGAUAAUUGUUGUUAUAUUAUUUUUUUCAAUUUUCUUCUAUCCUUAACAUUAAUACUUUUAAUUACAAUAAAGAUAAUAAUAUUUAGAAUACAAAUAAUAAUAUUUAUCAUAUUAAUAAAAAUAUCUACAGUAAUAAAUUUUUUUAUGAUAAUUAACCAUGAGACAAUAAUAAUAAUGAUAAUUGCUAUUGUAUUUUUUCCCCUGCAGGGUCUGUCGAUCCAGCCGUGCGAGCCUCUAAACCCAAGGGCGGUUAGAACAGACAUCGGCGGUCGGGUCUGCACCCAGUGUGCGGGUCAGGAGGCUAGGAGCGCGGGGUGCAAACUCUACCUCGCUUGUCUGCAGACCCCAGGGUUGCGGGGCUGCAGCAAACCCCGCGCCAGGUGUCUGCAUGCUAGGGCCUCGGCCAGCCCUAGCACCAGGUGGCAGCAGCCUAGGGCGCGCGCAAGAGCGCGUGGCCAACCCAACGCCCAUGCCUGUCAACCCAAGCGCUAGGUAUUCGUAGCCUCAGGGGGUGUGCGUCCACCCAGGCACUUGAGGCGUGCAAUAAGAUUUUUUGAAAAAAAAGUUUUUUAAAGAAUAAUAAUAAUGAUAAUUGUUAUAAUAUUUUUUUUUCCAAUUUUCGUCUAUUCAUAAUAUUAAUACAUUUAAUUAAAAUAAUAAUAAUAAUAAUAAUAGUUAGAAAAAUAAUAAUAUUUAUCACAUUAAUAAUAAUAUGAAACUUGCUUGACCAAAGUUGAUACAAUAUUAAUAAUAAUAUGAAACUUGCUUGACCAAAGUUGAUACAUUAUUAAUAAUAAUAUUUAUCACAUAUUUUAUCAAAUUAUUUACAAAUAAUAAUAUAUUUUUAUGUUUGAAAAUCCAUUUUUUAUAUACUCACAUCAAAAUAUUCAUUCGUGUAAAAAGGAAAUAAUAAUAUUAAUUUUUCUUUUCUUUUCUCUUAUUUUCGAUAUGAAUACUUUUUUAUAUAUAUUUUUGAUAUUUCUCUUCUUGAAUUUGCUUAUUAAAGCAUGUUUGUUUUUGCGUUUAAAAAAUGCUUUGAAAACAUUUUUAAAAUUUUUAAUUGUUUUGUUUACUUCAAAUUAAUAUUUUUGAUGUUGUAUUUUUUUUUGGUCUAGGUCCAUGACUGCGUUUUUAUUAUAAUUCUAAUUAUAAAAUAAUAAUAUUUAUAAUAAAAAUAAUUAUAUUUAGAAAGCUAAGACCCAAUUCUCUUGGGUCGUGACGCAGGACCCAUUACCCUUGGAUCCUGCCGUGGGACCUAAAGGAAUUGGGUCCUGACGCAUGACCCAAUCCUCUUAGGUCCUUGGGUCCGGCGGCAGGACCCAAGAGAAUUAUAAUAAAAAUAAUAAUAUUUAUAAUACAAAUAAUAAUAUGUUUAAUGUCAAUAACAUUAAUUAUAAUAAACAUAACAAUAUUUAUAAUACAAAUAAGAAUAUCUUGAAUUUCAAUAACAUUAAUUAUAAUACAAAUAAUAAUAUUUUUCAUUUAUUAAUUAUUAUAUGAAUAAUAUUAAUUAUAAUAAAAUACAAAUAUUUAUAAUACAAAUAAUUUUAAUUUUAACGUUAUUAUUAUUAUUAUUAUUAUUUAUAAUACAACUAAGAAUAUUUUUUAAUAACAUUAAUUAUAAUACAAAAGUAUUAAUAUUAAAAAUAUUAUUAUUUGUAUUAUACAUAUUAUUAUUUUUAUUAUAAUUAAUAUUAUUCAUAUAAUAAUUAAUAAAUUUUGGAAAUUUAUUAUUAUUAUUAUUAUGAUUAAUAAAUUUUAAAAAUACUAUUAUUACUAUUGAAGAAAAACCAUUAUUUUUUUAAAGAUUUAAAAAUAUAAUUCAAAGUAUUCAUAUAAAAAAUAUAAUUAUUUGUAUUAUAAAUAUAAUUAUUUUUCUUAUAAUUCAAAGUAUUCAUAUCAAAAAAAUUAUUAUUUGUGUUAUAAAUAUAUUAUUUUAAUUAUAAUUCUAAGUAUUAAUAUAAAAAUAUUAUAAUUUGUGUUAUAAAUAUUCUUGAGUUUGUUAAUAUAAUUAUUUGUGUUAUAAAUAUUAUUAUAACAAAUAAUCAAAUGCCAAGCGCCCUAGGGCUGCAUCCAAGCAUGCGUGUCCGGUCAUAGCGCUCAAGGCUCGUCACACCCUUCGCCAGGUGUGUGCAUGCUGAGGCCUCGGCCAGCUAUAGCGCCAAGUGUUUGCUGCCUAGGGCCGCGACUAGGGGCGCGUGGCUGGCCCCAAAGCCCUGGCUUGGCUACCCAAGCACAAGGUGUCGACAGUCUAAUCUAAUUAAAUGUCGCCUCUGCCGCUGCAUCACUCCCAUCUUAAUGACAAAAGUCAAAUGAGCCACCCCAGUCGCAAUUCUUGACUAAAAACACAGGUAAGGAACGCCCCCCAAGGUGCUAUAGUGUCAUCCACAGUUCAUUGUAUCUUGGGCCACAGUGCAUGUACAGUAGAAAAUCCUAAUACGUGUUAAGACAUAGCAAAGCAACUAUGUAAGUUUUAAUACAUAGCAAAACAACUGUGCAAAUCCACAAUUAAUUGUCUCUUGGUCCACAGUGCAUGCAUGUACAGUAAGUCCACAAUGAAUUAUCUCUCAGUCCACAAUGUAUUCAUGUAUAGUAGAAAACCACGUGUUUUAGAGUUUUGUUAAUAAUAAAAAAAAACAAAAAUAAUUUUGGUUUGUUGUAUACGUCUCAAUCUUUACAUAACAUUGCAAUUUAUUAAUAAAAAGGAGGGGAAAAUGUUUUUAGCAUUGUUUUUUUUUUUCAUUUUGUAAUUUACAAUAAGUUGGCCAAUAUUUGGCCAAUAUUUCAAUAACUCUAAAAAUUUUAAUUCCUAAAAAUUAAAGGUCAACAUUAUGGUAUAAAUGUUAGACCUACCAGUAGGCUAGUAUUUAAGUACCAGAAGUUAACUAGAAAAUUUUCAGAAUUAUUUUGGAUAUUCAUCAUUUUUAAUUGUGAGUAUUUUUUCAUCACAAUAUAUGAGUUGUGGAAAACAUUUUCACCUUUCAGGAUAGGUGACUCCUGUCAAAGCACCUACAUGAAUUUUUUUUAUAAGAAUUUACCUAAACAUACGAGUCCAUAAUAAAUUUGAAAUGUCAUAUUUAUUUAUGGGCGUAAUUCCUUUUUCUGAGCCAUAAAUGGGCUACCGGUUAGGAACCCAUCAACACGUUUAAACCACAUCAUGACAACACAAUACAACUUUACUCAAGUAAGGAUGUUAAUGCCUUUUUCUAGCCAAUACUGGUCCCUUACCCUGAAAUUUCAGAUAAGAUCAGUUACUUGGGUCUUCUAAUGACUUUGAAAUCACAAAACUAGGUGCGGACUCCUUAAUCCCGAUGCUGCAACACCGCGCGCACAUAGGCGACACAAUUCAUGCUUGAUUAAUCAUCCAUGUGAAUUAUUAGGUUUCGAAUAUGUUGGCACAAAUAUAAAUCAUAAUCUUAUUCAAAACAAGAUUAAAUAAAUUAAGCAAUUUAAGUUACUAUCAAUCCAACAAAUUGAUAGAUUUAUAUUUAAAUAUCAAAUGCAAGAUACCAUGAUCUCUUAAAUCUUGUCCCAGUAUAAAAAAAAUGUGAGUAUAUGAACCCAUGAAGUGGUAUCAGAAUCUAUUUUCCUAUUAUUAUUAACUAAACGGAAAGCCAUAUCUUACUGCUUAUACUAUAAUAUUGGGAUUGAGUGGUACAAUGUCCAGAAUGCUUCUAAGGAUAACCAUAUGUCCAUAUCCAUAAGAUCUCAAUGGAUUGACCCUUACUACAGAAUCUAGCACAUCCUUAAGCUAGAAUAAAGUGCCUUCACUGAUUAAUCUAGCAUAUAUAUCUAAUUAUUUGAAAAUCUUUUCAAAUUUCAUUCCACCUUAUAUAAAGAUUUAAUACUUAAUAUUAUUUGAGAAUACAUAUAGAUUGCAAGCAUCGGCUUUUAGUGUACUUUUGAUGACAUGAAACUACCACAAAAUGGGUCCUAUCCGAGAGAGUGUUCUCUUUCUGUUCUGUUAUCACAUAGAACUGAAAUCUGUUCAGAGUACCCCUCCAAGAAAAUUGAUGCGGGCAGAAAGACAAUAAUAAAUACAGAAAAAACACAAGAAUUUUAAUGAGCGAAAUGGGCUGUUGAUGUGAACAUUAAGUUCACAGGUUUUAUUUUCUCUUAAAUAACAAUCAUCACUACAAGAUUUCACAGUUUUACUGACGGACCAAUUCCGUCGAUGUGUGAUUAGAAGUUCGUCGGUGAUUUUUUUACCGACGUCAUCACCGACGGAUUACGUCCGUCCGUCGGCAUUCCCUUCGUCGGUGAUUCCCCCUUCCAUCGCUAUAUCGAUUGGAAAAACAAAAAAAUCAUUUGCCGAUGGUUUUACAGAUGGAAUUUGCGCGCCAAAAAAAAAGAUUCCCGCUUGAAAUAUACCGACGGAUUUUUAUUCUGUCGGUGAUAUUGUAAUUGACCGACGGAAACUAUCCGUCGGUAAAUACGUCGGUGAGUGUAUGAAAUACCGAACGAAUAUAUUUGUCUGUAAAUUCGUCGGUACUGGUGGCAGUUACUGUUAAAUGCCGACGGAUUAAUUCCAUCGGUAAUUCUGUCAGUGAGUGUUUAAAAUACCGACCGAAUUAAUCCGUCGGUAAAAUCCUUGGUAAUAGUUUUUUUCUUAAUUUUUUUUAAAAAAACUAUUUAGGAUAUAUAAUAUAAAACUAUUUAAAUUAAUUGUAAUACAAACCAAUUAUGCAAAAAAAAAUUAUAUUAAACAUAAAAAAAACAAAGUUAAAUAAUAUUCAUUACAAACUGAAUAUGUUUCAAGAAAAAUAUUAAAUGAAGUUUUAAAGGUAAAUAAUGUUGAUUACAAAUUAAUAUAAAGGUGGAGCUGGAGGAGGAGGAGGAGGAGAUCCUGGAGGAGGCUGGUGAUUAUACGGCCAAAAAAGAUUAGGCGCACAUGUUCCACUAUUUGUCAUGUUCAUUAGCAUUUCGCGAAGUUGUUCAUAAGCCGCUUUUUGUUGUUCAUGAGCCGCUUCAUACUCCGUUUUUUGUUGUGCUUGAGACGCUUUGAGUUGCUCAGACUACGCUCUUUGUUCCGCUCUUUGUUGUGCAUGAGACGCUUUGAGUUGUGCGUACUCCGCUUUUAGGUGAUCGUAUUUCUCGGUGAGCUGAGCUGUGUGUUGCUGCAAGGCCACGAACUCCUUAGAUUGGGAGCUCGAUAUUGAUUGGGAGCUCCCAACGGUUGAAACACUACGGGUCGACCGCAAGUUGUCGGCCGUAGUGUUGGAGAGCCCGUAAACCCGAUUUUUAUCGGGUCCACUUGACAAGCCAACCUCCAUCCACAAAUCCGGAUCGAAUUUCGAAUGGGUCAAAAUAUUGUCCCCGUAUCUCUCCCUCAACCGAUUAUUAUAGGUCUCCUGAAAAUAAAAAUAAAAAAGUAAUCAUCAUAUUCAAUACAAUAAACAUAAUAACUUACAUAAUAACUUACAAAAUAAAAUGGUUGAACAAACAUACCACGAAAUGCUGAGCACGGUUAUCAACGAACUGUUGCGCCCCCUUCUGGCAGUCUUGACUCUGCACGUGCGUCUCCACAAACAGCUCCAUCGGGCUCAGCUUACGUCCAAGAGACGCAGCCUAUAAUGAAAAAAGAUAUAUUAACAACAACUGAAUUUAACGAUAUAUUUCAUUUAAAUUAAUCUUACCAUCCGUUUCGCAUGUGCAGCAAACGGAACGGAGCCGUCAGUGUGCGUUGUCACCCCGCCAUGAAUUGGCCGAUUCCGGUUGCCAGCACCGGACUGUGAGUGUCGUGUGAACCGUUCAGACGUCACGUGCUCAAGAUAGUGCGGCCAUAUAUCUUCCGGGAUGUAUAUCGGUUUGAAAUCCCUCCAAACCGCAACAUCGUUCCAGCCUUGGAAACCCCUAUCCCUCGCGGUUUUUUUUGCCUUUUUUUGUGCUUCAUACCAAAAAUCACGCAACCUACUUCACGCAACCAAAAAUUACAUUUCGAAACAUAAAUUUUUGGCUAAAAAAAAUCCUGUAUUGUUUUCGAUCUUACCUAGUUGCCGCGUGAUUUUCCCACACCCUCCUCACAACAGUGUUAUGCUCACUGUCCCAGCAGAAUUUGUGCUGUGUAUAAAUAAACAAGCUUAAAUAAAAAUAAUAAUUUAUUUACAAUUAUAUUAAUAAGCUGAAAAUUAUAAAUUAAUACCAACCUCAAACCUGUUAAACCAUGCAUUGAUUUGAGGCAUCCAUUCAGGAUGCUUGGAUAUCUGACUCCAUUGAAACAAUGGAAUCUCCAUCGACGAUUUAAACGCCGAUGAUAUUACUCGGGCGGCUUCAAUGUUUGUGAACCUGAAAAUAAAUGAAAUAAAUUCAAUAGUGAUUACUUCAUAAAUUAUGUUGUAAUUUUUUUAAAAAAAAACUAAAACCUUAACAAACUUACAUUGAAAGGUCGUCCUUCCAUUGUGCCUCGUACUUGCGGGUAAAUUGAUUCCGCUGCGAAGGCACGCCGUCUCUGCGCUAUGAAGUACCGCUAGAAGAGGCAGCAUCGGUUGACGGCGCAGGUGGUGUAGGUGCCUCUUCUUGAGAGGCACCUAAGGAAAUAUCAUCAUCGCUGCUAGACGAACUAGCUGUGACCGUACUUGAGCGACCAGCUCUGGUUUUCGUUCUACGCAUCUACACAAUUUGAUACAAAUAAUUAUAUAAUUAAAUUCAAAUGUAAAAAAAAAAUUUGACAGCACCUCCCCUAUACCGGAUACUACCCAAAUCCACAAACAUGCACAUAUUAACAAUAGCCACAACCAAUUUACCCAAUCUAUACUAAUUAUUCCAACAUAUUCAAUUACUAAUCCUAAGGUAAAUUCAACAUUAAGAAUUACAAUUCAAGUAAUUAUUCAAUAAUUAUACCAAUAUAACAAAACAAUAAAUUAAAAAAAAAACUCUAGAAUAACAAUCAAAAUAAAUGGAAAAAAUUAAACACAAAGCAUGCAAUAAUAGAGUAAAACUAAUAAUUAUUCCAACAUAUUCAAUUACUAAUUCUAAAAUAAAUUCAACAUUAAGAAUUACAAUUCAACAAAUUAUUCAAUAAUUAUGCCAAUACAACAAAACAAUAAAUUAAAAAAAAACUCUAGAAUAACAAUCAAAAUAAAUGGAAAAAAUUAAACACAAAUCAUGCAAUAAUAAAGUAAAAUUAAUAAUUAUUCCAACAUAUUCAAUUACUAAUUCUAUGGUAAAUUCAACAUUAACAAUAAAUAUUCAACAAAUUAACUAAUAAUAAUUAUGCCAAUACAACAAUAAAAAAUAUUCAGUAAAUUUAAAAAAAAAACUAUAGACUUUAGCAAUGAAUUAUGCAAAAAAAACUAUAGACUUUAUCUACAUUACAAAAAAUACACCAAAAAAAAAAACUAACCAAAAAAAUAGCAAAAAAAAACCAUUAGAAGAAACACUAACCUUUUAAACUGAUGGAGAUUCACGAUAAAAAAAGCUUGAGAUCGCCUGAAGAACGGAGAGAAGAACGGAGAGGAAAAGAAUGGUGAAAAACUGAGGAGAAGAGAAAAUGAACUGAAGAGGCGGUCGGGGGAGUUUAAAUGCCAAUUUUACCGACGGAUUCACCGACGUCUAUAAAAUUAAUUAUUAUUUUAAUUUAUUCCGUCGGUGAGGUGUUAAAAAUCCGUCGGUAAAUUUUGAAUUUCGCACCAAAUUUUUUAAUGGCCCUCUAUAUUUUUCGCAGUCCGUGGCAAAUCCGUCGGCAAUCUGACGCGGUCAGAGAUGCAUUUAAUGCACAACCCUUUGAUAUUCGCGCAGUCCGUCGGGAAUUGUGUCGGUAAAAUUGACAACGUACCGACGACUAUAUAUUCGUCGGUGUGGUCGUCGAUGAUAUGGUGGCAUUACCAGUAAUUAUUUUCGAACUCUCUGUGAAAUGCCGACGGAAUUAAGUCCGUCGGUGUGGUCGUCGGUGAUGUGGUGGCAUUUCAAGUAAUUAUUUCCUGUCACAAAAUAUAUCAUCCAUGAUCAAUAAUUAUUUCAAGUAAUUAUUUCGUAAUUGUGGCAUUUCAACUAAUUAUUUCAAGUAAUAAAUAUUUUGUGUUUCAAAAUAUAUCAUCCAUAAUCUAAAUUACAUGAAAAAAAGGGUUUUACAUAGGGCUUCAUUUUGGUAGUUAGUCAGAAUUUUCUUCUUCUUCGUCAUCAAUUGAAUUGUCAUCACCUUCAUCGCAAUCUUCAACAUGAAUAUCAUCUUCUUCAUCGACAUUUGCUUGUCCGCUAGAGCUCAAAACAAAAUUCAACUCCUCUGCAUCAACAUCAACAUGACUAUCAUCGAAAACACGAAAAUUUGAAUUUUCUUCCAAUUCAAUCGAAGGAGUAACUCGAUAUGGUUCAACCACCUCACUAACUUGAAAGACUUCAUCUCGCACACUUGUGUCUUCAUUCUCAUCCUGAACAACCUCGACACGACCCCGGGGUUUUGUUUUUAAAACGGACAACCAAUCCACUCUUGAUCGAUCCUUUCUAAAUGAAGGGGUGUAUGUGUAAUAAACUUGUUGACAUUGCUUUGCGAAAACAAAGACAUCGUUUAUGUUGCGGAGUCUAGCUUUUGAGUUGAUUUCGACCAGACCAUAGUGCGGAUCAACUCUGAUUCCUCUGUCAGUCGUGUCAUACCAAUAGCAUUUGAAUAAAAACACUAUAUUCUGCUCGUCAUGAUAUUGUAGUUCGACGACCUCUUCUAAUCUACCAUAGUAGUCAACUUCUAACUCACUACUAGUGGAUCCCUUAACACAAACACCGCUGUUGUAUGUCUUUCUUCCUUGCCCGUAUUCUUCAGUAUGGAAAACAUAUCCAUUGACAAAAUACCCGUUGUAGCACUUACAUUUUCUUUCAAGCCCCAGGCUUAGUGAAGACAAUGACUUAGGUGCACUCCUUCCCAUUUGAUAAACCUUGUAUGUAAUGUACAUCAAUAAAUAGUAAAUGAACGAGAAUCUCGUAAUGACAUGCAUACGUACAGUAAUUUUGCAAGUUAGAAUGAGUUUGUGAUAGUGCUUACAUGUGUUCUGAACCACGUGGCAAACUGCUCAUCUUGUAAUUGAAAGAUCUGGGAUUCGGUCAGCUGUGAGUUAUUGGAGAGCAAAUAUUGACGAUGUUGCCUGCAAGUGAUAAUGAGUGUAUGAUAUUACAAUAUAUAAUUAACAGUAUAUUACUAACAAAGUUUAAUUAGUAUAAACUUACUGAAUAAAAGGUCUCAGCUCAUCACACUUAAAUAGAACAUAGUUGUGUGCUUGUUUGAACUCUAUUUCCGACAAAUAUCUUCCUCUUACGGCAUUUUUAUGUGUGGGUCAUCCAGUAUUGGAGAAUAUUGACAAGUUCCCACUGGAUGGCACUUCACCGCCAUCAUCAUGCCGUGGACCGCGAUUGAUUCUCGUUCUCAGAUGAGGUUCGAAAUAGUACGAGAUAAAUGUUGAGAUCUCCUCAACAAUAUAGGCCUCACAUAUCGAAGCCUCAACAUGCGCCUUGUUCUUAACCUUUUUCUUGAGAUUAAACAAGUACCUGCAUUGAAAUAUUAAUCAAGUAUUUUCAAUUAAGAAAAACAUAUAAAAUACUUUUAUAUAUGAAUUACAUUGCAACUGUAAUAUCUAACCGUUCGAAUGGGUACAUCCAUCUAUAUUGGAUCGGACCUCCAGCUUUUGCCUCGAACGGUAGAUGUAUAGGGAGAUGCUCCAUUGAGUCAAAAAAUGAUGGAGGGAAUAUCAUCUCAAGUUUGCAUAGUGUCUCGACGAUAUUCGUUUGAAGCCUCUCAAUGUGAUCAACAUUCAACUUGCUGGAGCAUAUAUCUCUGAAGAAAUGACUAAUCUCCGUGAGUGCAUCCCAUAUUCCCUUUGGCAACAAAUCACGAAAAGCUAAUGGGAUGAGUGUUUGCAUAAACACGUGGCAGUCAUGACUCUUCAUUCCAUACAAUCUGCAGUCCUCUAUAUUAACCAGCCUUGAUAUGUUCGAUGCAUGUCCAUCCGGAAAACGCAGACUCUUAAGUCAUUUGUAGACUAGCAGUUGUGCGUUUUUCUCUAACACGAAGCUUGCUCUUGGUUUUGCAACCCGUGACUCAUCAUAAACCAACUCCAUAUUUUUACGGUUACAGUAUAAAGCUAUAUUCAAUCUAGCCUUGAUGUUGUCCUUUGUCUUCCCCUUCACAUCCAUGACGGUGUUGAAAAUGUUCUCAAACAUGUUCUUUUCGAUGUGCAUGACGUCAAGGUUAUGGCGGAGCAGAUUGGUCUUCCAAUAAGGAAGCUCCAAAAAGAUACUUCGCUUUACCCAAUUAUGGGUCAAACCAAAACCAGGAAACUUUUGCUUACCUGAUUGAAGGCCAAACACAAUGUCACCGUACUCUGAGACAACAUCAUGCAAUUCUUCACUAGAAAGACGCAGGGAUGCAACAUCUUUUUCAACUCUGCCAACAAAGAAAUCUUUUUUGUUCUUUCUGUACCUGUGAUGAAGUGGCAAGAAGCGACGGUGACAGUAAAAAAAAGAAGCUUUACCUCCAUUUGCUAGCGUGAAUGCCUUGUUGUUUUCCAUGCAGUAUGGACAUGCGAGUUUCCCAUGCGUGCUCCAACCAGAAAGCAUUCCAUAAGCUGGAAAAUCAUUGAUAGUCCACAUCAAUGCCGCCCUCAUAAGGAAAUUUUGUUUCCUCGAUAUAUCAUAAGUCAGAGCUCCGGAGGACCACAACUGCGCCAACUCAUCAAUCAACGGUCGAAGACAAACAUCUAUAUUCCGCCCCGGGCUUCUUGGACCGGGUAUGACAGUAGAUAAAAACAUGAACUCCGGCCUCAUACACAUUCCCGGUGGCAAGUUAUAAACUGUGAGUAUGACCGGCCAACAAGAAUAAGGAGCAGCAAAUGACCCAAAUGGGUUGAAUCCGUCUGUACACAACCCAAGACGCACAUUCCUUGAUUCAGCUGAAAAGUGAGGAUGAACACUGUUAAAGCGUUUCCACGCUUCGCCGUCAAAAGGAUGAACCAUCACUCCAUCAACCGCAUGGUGUGCUUGGUGUCAUGUCAUGUGCUCAGUAGUCCUUGGUGACAUGAAUAACCUCUGCAGUCUAGGUGUGAUCGGGAAGUAUCUAAGUUUUUUAUAUGCCACUAGAGUCUUUUCCCUGCUAGUUCUAGGUUUGUAACGGGAAUGCCCGCAUGUCAUGCACUUGGUCAUCUCAGCAUUUUCAAGGUAGUAUAACAUGCAGAAGUUAGGGCACAUGUCAAUUUUUUGGUAUCCUAAACCGAGGGGUUUCAUCAUGGACUUCGCAGCAUAGAAGUUCUCUUUCAGCCUGUUCCCUUCAGGUAAAAUGCUUCUCGCCCAUUCAAUAAUCUUGUCAUACUCGGCCUCACUCAACCCGUGAUCUGACUUGAUGGUGAACAUUUGUGCUACGACCGAUAAUUUACUGUGGUUCGUGCAGCCAUCCCAUAAUGGUUCGUUAGAAUCUUUCAACAAAUCAAAAAACCUAGCUGCAUCUGCAUUAGGUUCUUCUUCUACGAUUGGACAUUGACUGCCAUUACCUUGAUUCAUUCUCAUUGCAUCCAUAACCAUAUUUCUGUAAGGAUAAGUGUUGUCAUUUGCCGCUUCAUGCACGUUGCUAGCACUAGAAGUAGACCCAACCACCAUUUCUUCCAUUCUCCUCUUACUACCAAAUACUUCUCCAUAUGCAUACCAACACUGGUAAUUCUCCAUAAACCCUUUGUGUAGAAGAUGCAUCAUUACAACAUCUGGAUGCAGAUACUUUUUAUUUUCACACUUCCUGCAUGGACACCUAAUACCGCCUCCAAUAAAAUUUCUAGGAAUAGAUGUUGCGAAAUUAAUAAAACCCUGAACCCCGUUACAAUAAUCCAUCCUCCGCAAUCCUUGGGGUGAAUCUCGAUACAUCCAUGAACGAUCAUCCAUGACUUAUAUCGAACCUCUAUAAAAUUAUGAUGACAUCAUGUAUUAAUUAACUAAGUUAGGUAAAUAAACUUGCAAAAAUAUUACUUUACCUCGAGAUUAUCCAACAAACCAAUCACAACUUCUCAUAAAUAUUAAAUAUUCAUUAUUAUUUAUCAACGUCCAUACGAAUUAAAAUAUAUAAAUUUACAGAAAUUACCACUCCGCAAUACCAUUGAUAAAACUUUAAACGGACCCAUUAAGCAAGCUAUUAAUUAUUUCAAAAUAGCACAUGUAAUUCAUAUACUAACAAAAUACAUUUACUAAAAAAACAAUAAAAUUCACAUUUAAUUAAAUGUUAAAAUUUAAAAAGAUAGAAUUACUUACAAAAAUUGAUAAAAUCCAUCGGUAAAUCAGAACACGGAUGCUGUGACCACAAAACUUCAAGAAAUAUAACUUGUUGUGCUGAUAUGAGGAAGAUUUUUUUUUGGGGGGGGAGGGGGGGCUGGUUGUUUGCAGAUGGGGAGAGUUGGGAUUAGGAAGAAGAAGGAGAAAUAGGGGAGGAGAGGGUCAGCAGAGCUGACAUGUAUAUAUAUUAACUUUUUCCAACGGUUUCACCGACGGACACUCCAUCGGUGAUUCUGACGGACACAUAGACACGUCACCAUACGGAUCUGCCAUUUCAAAUCCCUCGGUGAGUCCGUCGGCAAUUUAAACGGCGAACCGGUCACGUCACUGUACGGGCUGUCGUUUUGAUUUCGUCGGAACAAAAUAACCCGCCAAAACCUCCACGUCAGUGACCCGCCUUUUUUUUAAAUUCGGAAACUUUUUCGUCCGUAAUUCAGUCGGUAACUACCGACGGAAAUUUUCCGUCUGUAGUUACCGACUGAAUUACGGACGGAAAAUGGUCCGUCGGUAGUUACCGACUGAAUGACAGACGGAAAAGUGUCUGUCGGUAAUUUCGACCUCAAAUUACCGACAUAAAUAUUUCGUCUGUAAAUCCGUUGGUAUUUAACGAAUUUCUGGUAGUGGAACUAAGCAUAUUGAGAUCGAUUAUCAUCUUACUCGUCAUCAUCUCAAGCAUGGAACCAUUGCUUUGCCUUUUGUUCCUUCUUCCUUGUAGAUUGCAGAUUUCUUUACCAAGGCGCAUUUCAUCUCUCGUUUUCAUUUUCUGGUUGGCAAACUCUCAAUGCUUGUAGCUGCCGCAUCGUGAGUUUAAGGGAAGAUGUUAAAUAACAUUUAUGUAGUCUUGUUUAUUAAGGGUAGAAUAUUACUUUCAGUUUAACCUAUAUAUACUUUAUUUGUUUUUAGGUUAAGACUAAGCACUCAUAAUAUACAGAUUAUUCAGAAUUCUAGCCUCCCUUUUGUGUUUGAUCUUAAUUCAUUUUAACAAUGCUAUUUGUUGAAGUUGUUGCCAGCCUUCAAAAGGUCACUCGAUCUCAUUUUAGAAACUGAUUUCUCAAACAUGGAAACCUGGAAUCUCAAAAUCUUCUUAAUCAGUACAUUCCUAGUGAACAAGUAUGUCAAGGAGAAAUAAAAGGAUUGUCAAUGCAUUUUUCCAGACUAAAGUUGAGUUUAAGGACAUUCAAAAAGGUACAGUUUGCAAGGCCCGGGGGGAUUUCCCCUGAGAAAUUGUUGGAAGAGAGGUAGAGAGACGUGGCAUACUGAAUUAUUUUAGAGAUAUUUUGUGGAAUAGAUCCAAAGAGCUCAUUGCUGGAGAGAUCUAUGCCCGUUAUGCUUGUGCAGUGUUUAAGGCCAAGAGGGAACCUGCCCUUGAGACCCAUAUCCGGAAGUCUGAUAUUCAACACCCUAUUCUCACUAGGAUCGAUGCCACCAUUCAACCCCCAAAAAGGUACAAAUGAAUCCUUCAGUAGAAUUCUCAAAGUUCCAAGAAGAGUUCGAGUAAUUAUCAGGGAAAGGUUUAGCCAGGUUGAGCAACAAUAGUGGUCACGGCUGCAACAAAGUUGUCACUGGCAGCAGCGUUGUGGGCAACAAUGUUGCUGGCACGAGUCAUGAACGUUUCUGUCCAUGAUGGUUAAUUCCUUGAGAUUGUUGGUAAGGACACAAUGGAGGAACAACAUUAAAGAUACUAUCUUUAAAGAUAUUUCCUCUAAAAAAAAAUUAUAUUUAAAAAUUAUUAUUAUAAACAAAAAACACUCAAAAAGUAUAGGUUUUACCUCGUAUAUAAAGGAAACAAAGAUUUUUUUCUUGCUCAACCCAACCUUAAACCUAUUAGAUUUAAAUAUUUCAACUUAAAAAAAAAUAUUAUACAUUUAAUUGGAAUAAAAAUCUUUUAAAUAACUUCUCAAAUUAUAUUAUAUUAUUUACAACAAAUUUUUCAAACCAUUGCAGUAAUUACAAUUCAAAUUAAAUUAUAAAUUAUUAAAUAUUAUUUUAAUAUAUUUUUAAAUAAAAAACAUUUUAAAAAAUAAAAAAAUACUCCUGAUAUACCCUGCUAUGCAGCUCUGCCGCUUGGAAAAUGAGCUAGAAAAGGUUACGGGAGGAGAAAGCAAUGCAAAUUCAUUUGAACAGCCUCCAUGAUUUUCAUUUUUGCAAUUAAUAGAAAAUUUAAAAUAAUUAUGAAAAAUCAAUGUAACUUCCCUCAUAUAUAUAUAUAUAUAUAUAUAUAUAUAUAUAUAUAUAUAUAUAUAUAUAUAUAUAUAAUCCGGGAUGUUCGGGUCAGCUUACGCGUACCACGAUUUAUUUUUGGAUCCANNNNNNNNNNNNNNNNNNNNNNNNNNNNNNNNNNNNNNNNNNNNNNNNNNNNNNNNNNNNNNNNNNNNNNNNNNNNNNNNNNNNNNNNNNNNNNNNNNNNAUUCUUCAAGGAUAGUUUAAUGUUUUAAAAGUAUAAAAUUUAAAAGAAAUUUUAAAAAAGUAAUUAGGAUUUCUGUUUUGAAUACUUCAAGUAUAAUUCAAACUUUUAAAUUUACAAAAUUUAAAAGAAAUUUUAAAAAAGUAAAUAGAAUUUCUGUUUUGGAUUCUUCAUGGAUUGUUUAAAUGUAUUAAAAUUAUAAAAUUUAAAAGGAAUUUAAAAAAAGUAAUUAGGAUUUCUGUUUUGGAUUCUUCAAGGAUAGUUAAAAGAUUUAAAAUUAUAAAAUUUAAAAGAAUUUAAAAAAAGGAAUUAUGAUUUCUGUUUUUGAUUUUUCAAUGAUAAUUAAAAGUUUUAAAAUUAUAAAAUUUAAAAGAAUUUAAAAAAAGGAAUUAGGAUUUCUGUUUUGGAUUCUUCAAGGAUAGUUUAAAUGUUUUAAAAGUAUAAAAUUUAAAAGAAAUUUUAAAAAAGUAAUUAGGAUUUCUGUUUUGAAUACUUCAAGUAUAAUUCAAACUUUUAAAUUUACAAAAUUUAAAAGAAAUUUUAAAAAAGUAAAUAGAAUUUCUGUUUUGGAUUCUUCAUGGAUUGUUUAAAUGUAUUAAAAUUAUAAAAUUUAAAAGAAAUUUAAAAAAAGUAAUUAGGAUUUUUGUUUUGGAUUCUUCAAGGAUAGUUAAAAUAUUUAAAAUUAUAAAAUUUAAAAGCAUUUAUAAAAAGUAAUUAGGAUUUCUGUUUUGGAUUCUUCAAGGAUAGUUAAAAGAUUUAAAAUUAUAAAAUUUAAAAGAAUUUAAAAAAAGGAAUUUGGAUUUCUGUUUUGGAUUCUUCAAGGAUAGUUUAAAUAUUUUAAAAGUAUAAAAUUUAAAAUAAAUUUAAAAAAAAUAAUUAGGAUUUCUGUUUUGGAUUUUUCAAGGAUAAUUAAAAGUUUUAAAAUUAUAAAAUUUAAAAGAAUUUAAAAAAAGGAAUUAGGAUUUCUGUUUUGGAUUCUUCAAGGAUAGUUUAAAUGUUUUAAAAGUAUAAAAUUUAAAAGAAAUUUAAAAACCAAAUUAUGAUUUUUGUUUUGGAUUCUUCAAGGAUAGUUUAAAUGUUUUAAAAGUAUAAAAUUUGAGAGAAAUUUUGCAAAAGUAAUUAGGAUUUCUGUUUUGAAUACGUCAAGUAUAAUUCAAACUUGGAAAUUUACGAAAUUUGAAAGAAAUUUUGAAAAAGUAAAUAGGAUUUCUGUUUUGGAUUCUUCAUGGAUUGUUUAAAUGUAUUCCAAAUAUAAAAUUUAAAAGAAAGUUUAAAAAAGUAAUUAGGAUUUCUGUUUUGGAUUCUUCAAGGAUAGUUUAAAUGUUUUAAAAGUAUAAAAUUUAAAAGAAAUUUUAACAAAAUGACUAUGAUUUCUGUUUUGGAUUUUUCAAUGAUAAUUAAAAGUGUUAAGAAUUAUAAAAUUUAAAAGAAAUUUAUAAAAAGUAAUUAGGAUUUCUGUUUUGGAUUCUUGCAAAGAUAGUUAAAAGAUUUAAAAUUAUAAAAUUUAAAAAAAGAAAUUAGGAUUUCUGUAAACCCCCGUAAAUAAAAAUAAAUAAUAAUAAUAAUAAAAAAAACACAUAGGAUCGAAGUAAUGACAUUUCGAUGAGUAAUGGAUAUUCGGUAUGAAAGAAAUGAAUAAAUAGUAGGGAUGACAAUAAAUGUGUCAUGUGAGAGAGAGAAUGAUCUCCAUAAACAAAUUUAAAGAUAUUGUUGAAGUCGAAAAGAGAGUCAUGAUUUUUAGUUUAAAACUUGUAACGUUAGCGAAACUAGUGACGAGUUUUAAUGGAUAAAAGAAUAAGAAAAAAAAAACCAGAAGAUAUGUAAACCCGGGUCAAAACACGUAUUUUGACAAAUUAAUGAUAAAUGUGGUAAUAUUGAAUUUAUUGAGUAUAAAUUAAGAGGAAAUGUCACGAGGAUCUAAGUAAAUAAAUUAAUGCGUGAAAUUCAGAUUUUAGCGUAAAAGACAUUGAUUGUCUAGUUUUACGGUAUCGAUGAUAUAUCUCAAUCCGACCGUUGGAUCGGGCUGAAAUUUUAUAAGGAAUCUCCAGACAUAUUAUUUUAUAUUAGGUUCAAAUUUCGUGUCAAUCGGAGUUUGGGAAGGAUUUGCGAGAGCACUGAAAAUCGGGUAAAUUGAAGAAGAUGACACAAAGGGCAUUAAUAAGGGCUUUUUUGUAAUUUUAUCAAAACAAAUACUCUCCUCUCCUCUCUUUAAAAACAGAGCACGUCCUCUGCAAAUGGAAAAACAGGAGGGAGACCAUUUGUUUUGUCCCAUUUUCUUCAUUUUCUCUUCAUUUCUUCAAGCUAAAUCAAAAGGGAGUGUGCUUAGGAGGAUUAUAUCCAAGAAAACAAAUUAAAUGACAACUUAGAGAGUUAUAGAGCUUGAGAGAAACAAAGAGAAGAAGCUGGAAAUUGGAAGAGGAGGACAUGAUUUUUGUAAAUUUUUGCAAGAAUUCAUUGAAAUAAGUUAAAGUAGCAAAGGUAAGCAACAUACCCUUUAGUAAUUUCGUUUUUCUCUCUUGUUCUUGCAUGAGGAGAAGAAAACCUCCAAGUUUAAAAUUCUAGGGUUCAUGUAAAUAUUUUGGGGGAGUAAUUGUUCAUGUGAAUUUCAAGAUUAAUUGCAUGAUAAUGGCUUGAUUUGCUGAAAAAUAGAAGGAAUAAAUUGAUUUGAAACUAUGGGUUUUGGGAUUGCAACAGGGCAGGAACUUCGGCAGCCAUAUUUUGACUUUGCACCGUUGGAUUAGAUUGAAUUUUGGAUAUGUUAUUAUACUCAAUGUCACCUACAUUCUGACCGGAGGGAUUGCAAAUAUCCGAUUUCGUUUGAGGGCUGUCACCGGAGGAACAUUUCUGGAAAAUCACCCUUCAAGACAGCUUUGUUCGUCGGCCGUUAUAUCAUCGUUUCACCGUUGGAUUGGUCUGGAUUUUGGACAUGUUAUUCAUCCAGAUGUUAUAUAAAUUCUGAACGGUUUGGAUCGGAAAAGAACACUCCUACCAGAAAUUAUACUUCCCGAACAGCAGGUCUCCAAAUUUCAGGUCAGUCCAGUAUUGUUCUGAUAUCGGGAGGUUUAACCGUUGGAUGUAUGUUAAUUUUGGAUAUGUUAUUCGAAUGAUGAUGAUGUAUAAUUCCACCGUUUGGAUUUAUUGAAUUCUAAAUUUACAGAAUGAUGUUUUAAGUUUGGUUUGAGAAAUAUUGAAUGAGAAUAUGAGGUUUAGCAUAAAAAGUAUGUUUUGGGACUAAGGAUAAUGGCAAUGGGUUUAAUGAUGAUGGUUGUGUUUGUGUUAUGUUUGAGUCAUGUUUGAUGUGUUGAUAAGUGAUGAUAUAGUUAAAUUCUAUAAAGAAUAGUGAUUGACUAAUACUUUGGUUGUGUUAGAAUGGGAAAUCAUGUUGUAAAUUUUGACCAAAACCAUAGCAGGGUAUGACCCCCAGGGUGUAUGGCUGCUGGGUUUGGCUGUGCAACCAUACCCAAUAUCCUUGGGUAUGGUUGCGCAGCCAAACCCAACACCUUUGGAGGGUAUUGGGUCCUGCACCUGAUCAAAAUAGCUAUAGUAUAAGUAAUCCAUCCUAGGGACAUCGGCAUAGGAAGAUUGAAAAAAAAAAAACAAAACGAUUGAUUUCCUUUGGUAGAUGGAUUGGAAAUCCAUGUUAUCACGUAUGUGAGAAUUCAACCCCCCGUACCUCUCUAUAUCUCUGUACAUCGUAAAUAUAUAUAUAUAUAUCUUUUUCACUACAGUAUAACACCACCAUUGAAUAUUAAUGCAAGAUCAUUGAUCAAUAAGGACGACUGGCUUCCAGACCCACCAACCAUACCCAAUUAAAUUUCUUUGUCGUUGCCUUCUCUGAUUUAAAUUUAUGUUUCAAAAUAAAUUGAUGAGAUUUUUUUUUAUAUUGUAUAAAAGUUGAGUGAUAAUAGUUUUUCCCAUUUUAGGUUGGGUUGAAUUUCCUAAUUAAAUCAUGUCUGAUUUUGCAUUUCGAAAAUUCCUUGAAAAGUUUUUGAUAAUUUUUAAGUUUUUUUUCUUUGCUUGAAAUUAAUAUUUUUGUUAUGCUUUUGUAUUUUUUUUUUUAAAAUAUGUUGAGAUUAUGUCUGGCUGCGAUGCCAAACCCAAGAAAUUUUAAAAUUUUUAAUUUUUUUCUUUACUUCAAAAUAUUAUUUUCUCCAUGUUUUUGUAUUAUUUUUUAAAUAUUUUUUUUAAAAAUAUAUUGAGAUUGUGUCUGGUUGAGAGGCGAGACUCAAGAAAUUAAAAAAAAAUUAUUUUUUUCUUUACUUCAAAUUAAUUUUCGUUUGAUAUUUUUUUCUUCACUUCAAAUUAUUUAGAUCAUGUUUGAUUUUGCAUUUCAAAAAUUCUUUGAAAUUGUUUUGACAAUUUUGAAGUUUUUUUUCUUUACUUCAAAUUAAUUUUUUUUUUAUGUUUUUGUUUUUUUUUAAAUGUUGGCAUUGUGUUUGUCUGCGAUGCUAGACCCAAGAAAUUUUCAAAUUUUAAUUUUUUUCUUUCCUUCAAAAUAAUAUUUUUUUUCAUGUUUUUAUAUUUUUUUUAAAAUAUAUAUUUUAAAAAAAUAUUGAGAUUUUGUCUGGCUUGUUUUUGGGGCCUCUAAACCCAAGGGCAGUUAGAACAGACCUCGACGGUGGGUCUGCACCCAGCGCACUGGUCCAGAGGCCAGGAGCGCGGGGUUGCAGACCCUGCCUCGCGGGUCUGCAAACCCUAGGGUCGCAAGGUUGCACACUCGCUCGCACUGGAAUGCAGCCAGGCGCGCGGGUCUGCCCUACCACCUAAGGCAUGGCAGGCCCCGUGCCAGGUGUCUGCAUGCUAGGGCCUUGGCCAACCCUUGUGCCAAGUGGCAGCAGCCUAGAGCACGAGCAGGCGCACGUGGUCUGCCCCACUCCCAGGCCUGACAGCCUAAGCGCCAAGUGUCCCCAGCCUUAUGGGUUGUGCGUCCAGCGAGGCACUUGGGGCCUACACUAAUAUUUUUUUCAAAAAUUAUUUUUUAACAAUAAUAAUAAUAAUAAUAAUAUUUGUUAUUAUAUUUUUUUUUUGCAAUUUCCUUCUAUUUUUAAUAUUAAUACAAAUAAUAAUAUUUAUUAAUAAUAUUUUUUUUAACAUUCAAAGAAAUUAAAAAUAAAAAUAUUUAGAAUAAAAAUAAAAAUAUUUAGACUACAAAUAAUAAUAUUUAUCACAUAUAUAUAUAUAUAUAUAUAUAUAUAUAUAUAUAUAUAUAUAUAUAUAUAUAGCCGGAAGAAAUUAGAAAAAUAAUAGGAGUCUGGAGCGGUCAGAAAAUGGUUAGAAAAAUUGAUUAAGGAGGUUAAAAAAUACAAAGAUUGAAAUUUUGACAAUAUAUACUUGAAUGAUGAGAGCCCUGUUGGAAAAGAAAAUUCAAUUUGAGGAGAAAAGUACAAAAUUAGAUGUUUAUGGACUCAAUUGGAUUUUAUUGAAGGUUUAAUUGAAUUUAUAGAGGGUUUGAUUGCAAGAAAAAUUGUUUUUUAAGUCAAUUUGGGCUUUAAUUGGAAGAAAUUAAAGUUCUGGGGUCAAAUUAUAAUUUUUAAGAGUUGAUUUGGUCAAAUUAGGGGCUUAAUUGCAUAAAUAUUGAAGUUUGAUGGCCAAUUAGGGACUUAAUUGAAGAAAUCCGAAACCAAGGACCAAACUAGAAAAGGCGCGUAAAUAGAGGGGCUGUAAUUAACCAAAUCAGGGCUUAAAUUAAAGAAAUUGGAAGUUUAUUGAUCAAUUGAGGGUCAAAUUGUAUAAAUCGGAAACCAAGGACGAAAGUGGAAAAGGCGGCCAACUAUAAGGGCGGCGAUUGAAGUUGGCAGGGAUUCAAUUGAAAUGAACAAAAGAUAAAUUAAGGACUGAUUUGGAAGUUGACGUGUUGGCGCCAUAUUUAAAUGAAACGGCGCGUUUUGUCCAAAACGACGCCGUUUCAUGUUGAAAAAAAAUAUAACAGAACGGUGUCGUUUUGAGAGACACUGUUCCUCCUUCUUCUUCCCCUGGACGCGCAGCAGGGGAAGAAAGAAACUUUUGUUUUUUCUUCUUUAAUUCUUCAUGCCUAUCUCCCUCCCCGCGUGCUUUGCCAAACAUCCGAAGCCCGAUGCCCCCUCAUAAUGAGAAACUAGCAAAGACGUGCCCAGCAAACCGAGCCCGUUGGUCACCUCAACCGGCGUCGUGACAGGGCAGUAAAGCCCUGCUCCCCAUGCGCAGCAAUAGGGCGGCAAUAGGGAUGCCCCCGCUCCCUUUGCCCUAUAUAUACCACCCAACGCCAGCACAUGACAAAAAAAAGACAGAGGACGAAAAAGAAAACGAGAGGAAAAGAAAAGGAAAGCAGACGGUGGAGAGAGAGAGAGAGAGAGAGGAAGACGAGUUUGAAACAGGGGAGGGUUUGAGAGUAAAAAAAAACAGACAGAGAGGAACAAAAAGAAAGGUAAACAUAGCAGCAGAAGAGGAAAGAAAACGAAGGAGAAGGGAAGAGCAGUAACCUCUCGCUCCGCCGUUUGUAACAGCGACACCGCCACCGGCCUCCACCGCAGCACCGCCAGCGAAGCAGCCAGACCAGCAAGGCACCUCCUCCUCCGCGUCAGGUAACUUUUCUUUCCCCUCCCUUUUUACUUCAUUUUGGGCAUAAGUUUCUCCUGCAUGCAGAAUGAAUAGCGUUCUGCAUGCAGGAGGAGGAGGAGAGGGGGAAAAUAAUUCCCCCUCCCUGUUUUUUCUUUCUGGGCCAGGCCGGUUCUGGCCCAGCCCUUAUGUCUGGGCCGGGUCCGGCCCGGACCCAAAGAAGCAGAGAGAACUGUUGGGCCGAGAUCGGCCUAACCCUUUUGGGCUGAGGCCGGCCCAGUUAACUGGGCGACCCAGCCCACACAAUUAUAAUAUUAUAUAUUAUAGUAUAUUAUAUUAUAUAUAUAUAUAUAUAUAUAUAUAAUUUUUUAAAAAACAAAUUCUAAAAAAUCCUUAAAAAUUUUGUUGAUUUUUCUGCAUAUUUUUUUUAUCAAAAUUAUUUAAUACUAGUUUGUAUUUUUAUACCGUAAAGAUACAGAUCCAGUAUUAAAACAUCCGGUUUUCGUCAAAACAUUGCAAAAAAUUUAUAUAAAAUAAAAAAAUAUUUUGUUUUUCAUGCAUACGGCCAAGUAUUUCAAAGAUAAGAAAAAUCAUCACAUCGUAUUUUCAUACAAAAAAAAAUCAUAUUGUUUUUUUAUACAUAAAACACAAAAUAUUCAAAAAUAUGUUUUAGCAUGCACUUUGGCUUUAAUAACAAGUUUGUUAGAGCCAUGAGAACUAGGCCAAUAUUUCAAAAAUUCUAAAAAAAUAUUUUUGUCUUCUUUUAGUAUCUGGGAUUACGAAUUUAUACGUAAAACGUAUUCCUGAUAUUAAAAAUGUAGUUUUCUUAUAUAGGCGUUAGAACGGUUAGAUUUUUACCCGAUAAGAUAAGGACCUCUUUACUGAGGAGGACUUUUCUUGAACUAUAGACGGACCAACAAUUAGAAAUACAAUAGCACCUUAGCUUUUUAUCAGACAAUCAAACAAUGCAGCUUACCUUAGGUAAGGCGUAUUUGGGGUGCUAAUACCUUCUCUUUAUGCAAUCAAUCCCCGUACUCGAUCUCUGAGACCAGUUAGAGUUCCUAGUGACCAAAAUACUAGGUGGCGACUCCCAUUCUAUUUUCCACCGAUAAAAGACAAGAUUUUCUUGUCUCCCCAUAUUUGCCACAUAGAUAUACAUUUAGAUUGAAGUGGAAUAUUCAUCACGACGCCGCACACGUGUGACAAUAUUAAGAAUAAUAUCUACAGUAAUAAAUUUUUUAUGUUAAUUAACAAUGAGACAAUAAUAAUAAUGAUAAUUGCUAUUGUAUUUUUUCCCCCUACAGGGUCUGCCGAUCCAGCCAUGCGAGCCUCUAAACCCAAGGGCGGUUAGAACAGACAUCGGCGGUCCGGUCUGCACCCAGUGCGCGGGUCAUGAGGCUAGGAGCGCGGGGUGCAGACCCAACCUCGCGUGUCUGCAGACCCCAGGAUUGCGGGGCUGCAGACCCGCUUGCCGUGGGGCUGCAACCAGGCGCGCGGGUCUGCCCCUAGCACCUAAGGCGUGGCAAACCCCGCGCCAGGUGUCUAUAUGCUAGGGCCUCGGCCAGCCCUAGCACCAGGUGACAGCAUCCUGGGGCGCGCGCAAGCGCGCAUGGCCAACCCAACGCCCAGGCUAGUCAGCCCAAGGGGGUGUGCGUCCACCUAGACGCUUGGGGCGUGCAAUAAGAUUUUUUUCAAAAAAUGUUUUUUAAAGAAUAAUAAUAAUGAUAAUUGUUAUUAUAUUUGUUUUUUCCAAUUUUCGUCUAUUCUUAAUAUUAAUACAUUUAAUUAAAAUAAUAAUAAUAAUAAUAACAGUAAGAAUACAAAUAAUAAUAUUAUCAUAUUAAUAAUAAUAUUAAACUUGUUUGACCAAAGUUGAUACAAUAUUAAUAAUAAUAUGAAGCUUGCUUGACCAAAGUUAAUACAAUAUUAAUAAUAAUAUUUAUCACAUAUUUUAUCAAAUUAUUUAUAAAUAAUAAUAUAUUUUUUAUGUUUGAAAAAUCCAUUUUUUAUAUACUCACAUCAAAAAAUUCAUUCGUGUAAAAAGGAAAUAAUAAUAUUAACUAUAUAUGCAUAUCCAUAAGAUCUCAAUGGAUUGCCCCUUACUACAGAAUGUAGCACAUCCUUAAGCUAGAAUAAAGUGCCUUCACUGAUUAAUCUAGCAUAUCUAAUUAUUUGAAAAAAAUUUCAAAUUUCAUUUCACCUUACAUAAGAAUUUAAUACUUAAUAUUAUUUGAGAAUACAUAAAGAUUGCAAGCAGCGGCUUUUAGUGAACUUUUGAUGACAUGAAACUGCCACAAAAUGGGUCCUAUCCGAGAGGGCGUUCUUUUCUGUUCUGUUAUCACAUAGAACUGAAAUCUGUUCACAGUACCCCUCCAAGAAAAUGGUCUCUCAAGGUAAGUCCUGAGGAAUUUGACACAAAUAAAACGAUAUAUCUUGUCCCAGUAUCAAAAAAAUGUUAAAAAAUGUGAGCAUAUGAACACAUGAAGUGGUCUCAGAAUCUAUGUUCCUAUUAUUUUUAACAAUACGGAAAGGCAUAACUAACUGUUUGUACUAUAAUAUUCUUUGGUAUAUUUAUUACCGAUGGACUCACUAGCAGACCAUAAAUUAUUGACGAGAGUUUUUUCGACGGACUGUCUCCAUCCGCGUGAGCCUGUCAACAAAAUACAUACCAAUGAACUGUGAGUGUGAAUAUCGACAAAAUUUUCUGUUAGUAAAACUGUUAAAUUUGGUAGUGAUCGCUUGAUCCGCCACUAGAAGUGAUGACAAGUUAUGACCAUUUUAAGUUGUUAUUCUGGUCUGACACAAUUAGACCUUCUCUUGGACCUAGACUUGUCCUACUAGUCUAUAAAUAUAUAUGUUAGAACAUCCAUAUCAUCUGUCUAGAGCAGAUACUAAUCUAAUUGUGACAGACCCACAUAUGGCAGCUCAGAAUCAUCUGUUAUCGCAAACCCAACUACAUCAUUAAUGGUCUCUCAAGGUAAGUCAUGAGGAAUUUGAAGCAUAUAAAACGAUAUAAGUUGUCCCAAUAUCAUAAAAAUGUUUUAAAAAAAUGUGAGUAUAUGAACCCAUGAAGUGGGAUCAGAAUCUAUGUUCCUAUUGUUAUUAACAAAACGGAAAGCCACAACUAACUGUUUGUACUAUAAUAUUGGGAGUGAGAGGUACAAUGUCCAGAAUGCUUCUAAGGAUAACCAUAUCCAUAAGAUCUCAAUGGAUUGCCCCUUACUGCAGAAUCUAGCGCAUCCUUAAGUAAAUAAAGAAAGCUAGAAUAAAGUGGCCUCAGUGAUUAUUUAGCAUUAUUAAGUAGGCCAAGUACUCUUCACUGCUUAUUUCCUAAUAAUUCCUUACUGUGGAAUUGCACUUACAAAUAAAGAACUUGUUCUUGAUAUUUUCGUACGGAAUUUCGUUUAUUCGGAUUAAUUUGAGGUUAACUAGAAUAAGAAAUAAAGAUAUAGGUUUUGGAAAGAAUAGAAAAAAAGAUUAUCAAAAGAAAUUAGAAAGGAAAAGUUAGUUAUAUGGAAUCAGAUUCACCAUUAAACUAAAGAGUCGGAAGGAAUCAUUUGUUCAAUAAUUGAAUGCGAUUUUUGUCUUAUAUAUAUUUUAGGAACUUUGCACUCGAUCGAAAGGGAACAUUUGUGCCACCAAGUACUAACAAUAACUGUCCAUAGUUUUGCAUGCAUAGACACUUUUUUUCCCGGUGUUAAUAGAUAUUUUCGGACCAACUUGAAAGCAAUUAUUAGAGAUAUCAAUUCAAUCUGAAUUCAAUAUGCAUACAUAUAUAUUACUUUUUUUUAUUUUAUAUUAAAUAUUAAAUAAUGUUUAGGAAAUAAAAAUCUAAAUGGAUCGAUGAAUAUAAUAUUAGUUUCUAAAUGAUGCAACAUAGCUAGAAGAAACUGAAGGUUAUGAGUGGACCUGAUAUAGCUAGAUGAGGGUCAAACCACCAACAAAUUACAUAGAUGACUUAACAUUUAUUUUUAUGGUUUAAUAAGAUAGGAAUAGGUUCAAGAAAAAAAUAUAGUCAUGCCAAACCAAUAAAGUAUCUAAAAGAAGCCAUAACUUGUCAUCCAAUCGUCAGAUAAAUCUCAAAUUUUUACUUAGAUUCCCAAAGCCCAUCUCUAUGGAGGAGCUCUUUGGCAAUCCAUCCUCUAAAUGGAUUUCCUCAAAUUAAGAUGAGAAGAUCCGGCUUAAGCCAAUUUUUUUGUUGUUUUUUUUUUUUUUCAAAAUUUUAUGUUUUAUCUCGGAUUUUCCAUUAUUUUUCAAAUUAAAGAAACCGAGAUAAAAUACCCUGAAUCUUCUUUCAUAAUUUGCUUUCGAGAAGGUGUAGUGUUUUUGCUACUUUUACUUUUGGACCUGACUUGAUUCCUGACCGGUAGAAACAGCAUUAGUCCAAAAGCAGGGAAGCUUUUGUUUUCUUUAAUCACAUGAUCAGAUAUUCUCAUUUAUGCCCAGCACAAAUUCAUAGAAGUGGCUCUAAUGAUUGGCUGACAACAGUUGUUAAUGAGCAGUGUUUGCGUCCCUUAUUUUUCAGUUUACUAAGUAUUUAGAACAUUCAAUUCCAAUCCAAAGUCGAUAAUAAUAAACUCUUGGUGAUGGUUUUGUUAUCGAAAGUGAUCGGACAUCGGACGACAAAAAAACCAGUAAAAUUUCUUGAACACAUCCAAAUCUAACAGUUUUUACUUUUUUUGUGUUUAAAUAUGAUAUUAAUAAACUAUUGAUGAUAAUCUUUUUUUCAUUUUAUGAUGUUUUUAUCGUAGUAGUGAUAAGAUGAAGAAAAGCUAUUGAUUUUUCUCUCAGCAAUGGUUUGUUUUAUCGUACACAAAUGUUGGGUGCUUUUAUUUACAAAAAGGAGUACUGUCUAACAAUAUUCAUUCCACAGCUGUUGUCAACCAAACCUUCCCGAUCUAUAUAAAGGUUGGUUUGGCCUCACACAUAUUAGCCAAGCAAGUAAACCAGCUCGACCUAUAUACAGCUACUUGUCUUGUGUAUUGACUGACAAAUUGUAGUUAACAUGGCACGUCAGGCAGACCGUCUUGCUAAGAUUGGGCUGGAGGGCUUUGCAGCCAGAGAUGAGCACUUCGGCCGGGCCAAGAGGCGGCCACCAGUGCUGAAGGUUCCCUAUGCUCAUCCGACAUAUUACUAUGCAAACCAAAUUCCUGCAACAGAAGUUAUCGACACCAACGAGGCAGCUCAACGCUACAAGGGGAGGGUUUAUCUCGAUUAUCCUAAGGGGAAACCAGUUCCGUUUUAAAGACCUAGUGAUUAAUCACUUAGCUUUCUUGUAUGCAUAACCUCCUCCAGUUGUGUUACCUUUAGUCCUGUACGAUAUUCUCCCUCUGCUAAACGUAUACGAGGAGAGGUUGCUAGAACUCGAGUCAGGAGCUUCUUGUUACUUCUUCAAAUAAACUUUCUGUGAUUUAUAUAUCAUUUUCUAUUUGUAUGUAUUGUCAUAAUUAUCACCUCUUACUUAGCAUGGAAUUGAAAGAUACAAUAUGCUCUUGAAAUGCUUUGAAGCUCUUCAAGGUGUGAUUUCACCGACUAAGUUGGAACUGUACAGAGCUCAAUGAUGAGCCGUAGGAGGCGUCUCUGAUUGUUGCACUGUAAGCAUGAGUGUACGUAUGAAUAUAACCAGCAGAUCCGCAAAGCACAAGUGAUGACAAGCUUCUUAACACGGCUACAUUUAACAGUUUUACCAACGAAAUUUUUUGUCGGUAUUUACUCUACCAUUCCGUCAGCAUGAAUUUUACCGACUGAUUUACGGACGGAAACAGUCGGUCGAUAAAUUCCUCUUGUCAGUAAUUUUAUUAAUGUCGGUAAAAAAAAACCGAUGGUUUUACAGACAGAAAAUGCAAGCCAAUUUUUUUUCCACUGGAAUAUAAAGACAGAAUUAUUUCUUCGGUGAUUGACAGUGGCAUAUGGAGUAAUUUUAUUCCAAACCCUCUAUAAAAUACCGAAGGAAUUAUUCCAUCGGUGAUGUAACAGUUGAAAUGGCAUAUGCAGUAAUUAUUUUUCAACUCUCUGGAAUAUAACGACCAACAAAGUUUGUCGGUAACUCUGUCCGUAAUAAUUAAAAAAUAUAUUUUAUACAAAAUUGUAUAAAAUUCAAGUAUGUGAAAAUAAAUUACCUAUGCUCAUCCGACAUAUUACUAUGCAAACCAAAUUCCUGCAACAGAAGUUAUCGACAGCAACGAGGCAGCUCAACGCUACAAGGGGAGGGUUUAUCUCGAUUAUCCUAAGGGGAAACCAGUUCCGUUUUAAAGACCUAGUGAUUAAUCACUUAGCUUUCUUGUAUGCAUAACCUCCUCUAGUUGUGUUACCUUUAGUCCUGUACGAUAUUCUCCCUCUGCUAAACGUAGACGAGGAGAGGUUGCUAGAACUCGAGUCCGGAGCUUCUUCUUGCUUCAUCAAAUAAAAUUUCUGUGAUUUAUAUAUUAUAAUUUUCUAUUUGGCUGGUCAAGUAUGCAUUGUCAUAAAUAUCACUCUGCUUCCCUGAUUAUUACCUUAUUCACCUAUUACUUAGCAUGAAAUAUUGAAAGAUUAAUGCAGUCGGAAGCACAACAAUAUAGCUGCAAGCAUAGAAAGACAAAAGAUAAACUGAAAUAAUGUUAAAACACUGAGAAUCCUAAAACCUUAUUUCUAAAUUAUUAAUUUGAUUAAGUUUACCUUCUAAAGAGGUUUACAAUCUCUUUCAUAGACUAGAAAAAUAGGCCAAGAUUCGAAACAAAAUCAGAAUCCCAAAACAUAACGGAAAAUAACAUAAAAUUUAAAAAUAAACAAUAAAUCUGCGAAAAUUAAGGAAAAAUAACAAAAUUAUCCCAAAUAAUAACUAAUUAGCCUACUUUAUGGAGAUACAAUGCUCUGAUAACUAUUGAGUUGUUUUUAAUGGGAAAACGGUUUGUAGAAUCUUCUAUAAAAAUUUAAACCUGAUUUAACGGUUAGAAUAUCUCCUGUUAUCAUUAUUUUAGGCUAUUAUUCUGGUCUUGCGUGAUGAUGCUUUCUCUUGGCCUAAACAUCUUUCACUAGUACAUGAACAUAUCUGUUAGUAGUCCGUUUAGGGCAAACAAAUAAUUAAUUUGCUGUUCAAAUGCUUUGAAGCUCUUCAAGGUGUGAUUUCACUGAAUAAUUUCGAGUUUAGAAUUAUCACCUCAUUUUAGAAUUGUCCCGAGCACAAGGAUAAAAUGAUGAGCCAUGGGAAGCGUCUCCGAUAAAGAAAUAAUAAACGGAGUUCAAGGUAAAACAAUAGCUUAGAAAAAAAAAAGUAGAAAUUUACACGAUAUCUAAGAAUAUCAGCGAUCAUGACCAUGAUUGGAUCAUUUCUGAGUUCUACAACCAAAAUUUCCUUCACAUCUCUUUAACUAAGCUGAUAGUCGAUGAAGAUUUAAGGAAAAACAUGAUUCCCAAUCCGAGCCAUAUGAGCAAGUGUAUCUAGUAAAAAUAUCUUAUCUCCCAUGAAAAUCAUAUUAGUAAGCCUCCCUCUGAAGCAUUGCUUUACACAUAUCUUUUACAGAAAAAAGAGAAAAAUGGGAAAUGCUCCGAGUUAUACCUUUUCUUGAUCUUUCCCAAUCCUUCAUUAUAAAUGGGACCCAUCAAAAACAUGAGAUGUGCUUUAACUUCCUCCAUAUUUCAUCUUAGCCUAGAAGGAUAAACAAGAAUAUUAUUGCUUCUGAAACAUAACGAUUGCAAGCAUCGCCUUUCGGUGAACUUUAGAUGACAUGAAACUGCCACAAAUUGGGUCCUAUCCGAGAGAGUUUUCUUUUUCUGCUCUGUUAUCACACAUAUACAACUGAAAUCUUUAAGUCCUCUUUAGGGUAUCCCUGAAAGAAAAUGAUCUAUCAUGCAUGGAAAGUCCUGAGGAAUCUGAGGCAUCACUACAUGAAAUUCAACCAACGGAAUUGCCGACAAACUGUUUCUUUCGGUAUUUUGCGGUGAUAUUUACCGACCGAAUUACUUCCCUUGCUAAAACCGUCGGUAUAUAUCGAGUGAAUCCCAGAUAGAAUAUAAAGAAUUUUAAAAAACAAAGCAGUGCAAUGACGUGGAAGUUUUGGUGGAUGAUGUUACUGAUGGAAUUACAGAGUGAUUCAAACUGGGAUGUUCGUACAGUGACGUGUUUACUUCACCGACAGAAUGGCCGAUGGAUUUACAAACAAAAAUAUUAUGUCGGUAAUUCCAUCGAUAAUAGUUAAUAUAUUGAAUGUUUUUUUAGUGUUUACUUGUUUUAUUACUUUUCUCAAACAAACAUGUAGUAUGGAUUUAUAAUUUUGUACUUGGUAUGGUUUGUUUUAGAUUUUGUAAAAUUAUAUUUGUUUGUAAAUUGUUGAAAUUUAUGUCGAAUUACCGACUUAGGUGUGUUGUGAUGAAAUAAAUAAUGACUUGUUUGAUGGGUCCGUUUUAAUUUUUGUCAAUUUUAUUGCCGAGUUGUAAUUUCUGUAAAUUAAUGUGUCUAAAUUUGUAUGGACGUAGAUAAUUGAUAAUGAAUAUUUAAGAGAAGUUUGAAAGUAAGUUGGAAAUCUUGAGCUAAACCAAUAUUUUUGCAAAUUUAUUUGCUUGACGUAGUUAAUUAAUACAUGUUGUCAUCAUUAUUUUAUAGAGGUUUGAUAGAAGUCAUGGAUGAUCAUUCAUGGAUGUAUCGAGAUUCACCUUAAGAAUUGCGGAGGAUGGAUUAUUAUAAUAGGGUUCAGAGUUUUAUUAAUUUCGCAACAUCUAUUUCGAGAAAUUUUAGUGGAGACGGUAUUAAGUGUCCAUACAGGAGGUGUAAAAAUAAAAAGUUUUUGCAUCCAGAUGUUGUAACGAUGUAUCUUCUACACAAAGGGUUCAUGGAGGAUUACUUGUGUUGGUAUGCACACAAAGAAUUAUUUGUUCGUAACAAGAGCAUGGUAGAAAGGAUGGUUGGGUCAACUUCUAGUGCUAGCAAUGUGCAUGGAGUUGUAAAUGACAAUAGUAAUCCUUACAGGAAUAUGGUUAUGGAUUCAAUGAGAAUGAAUCAAGAUAAUGCUAGUCAAUGUCCAAUUGUAGAAGAAGAUGCUAGUCAAUGUCCAAUUGUAGAAGAAGAACCUAAUGCAGACGCGGCCAGGUUUUUUGAUUUGUUGAAAGAUUCUGAUGAACCAUUAUGGGAUGGCUGCACAAAUCACUGUAAAUAAUCAGUUGUUGCAUAUGUGUUCACUAUCAAGUCAGAUUAUGGGUUGAGUGAGGCCGGUUAUGACAAAAUUAUCGAAUGGGCGAGAAGCAUUCUACUUGAAGGGAACAAGCUGAAAGAGAACUUCUAUGCUACUAAGUCCAUGAUGAAACCCCUCGGUUUAGGAUACUAGAAAAUUGACAUGUGUCCAAACUUUUGCAUGAUGUACUACCUUGAAAAUGCUGAGCUAACCGAGUGCAUGGCAUGAGAGCAUUCCCGUUACAAAUCCAGAACUGGCAUGGGAAAGACUCUUAUGGCAUAUAAAAAACUUAGAUACUUCCCAAUCACGCCUAGACUGUAGAGGUUAUUCAUGUCACCAAAGACUACUGAGCACAUGAUAUAGCACCAAUCACUUGAUGCAGUGGAUGGAGUGAUAGUGCAUCCUUCUGACGGUGAAGCAUGGAAACACUUUAACAGUGUGCAUUCUCAUUUUUCAGCUGAAUCAAGGAACGUGCAUCUUGGGUUAUGUACAGAUGAAUUCAACCCAUUCAGGUCAUUUGUUGAUCCUUAUUCUUGUUGGCCGAUUAUACUCACGGUUUACAACUUACCACUCUUAUGGCAACAGUUGCUCCUUCUUCACAAUACUUAUGGAACAAAGACUUGUUAAGUGCUUGACUAACGGACUGUUUUUCUCAAAGCUUUUAGUUUGGUUGACCUGAAACUUUGUUUUCGUAGCAAUCCCCAUCAACGGAAACUACGAUCAAACUGUGUACAAUUUGGUUAUCUUGAAAUCGCAAUCUAGUGAUUUGCUUAAUCCAAAACCAAAAUCAAUGCCAAAGUUCGGUCAACCUGAGAUCCCAAUUUGGCGAUCCGCUUUAACUAGAACUAAAAUAUGAAAAGUAGCUCGGUAACCUGAAAUCCCAAUCUGGCGAUUCACUUUAACCAGAACCUUGGUCUUUGUCGUUAAGUUGGUCAACCUAAAAUCCCAAUACGACGAUUCUCUUUAAUAAGAACCAAAAUGUCGCCUUUAGCUUAGUUAAUCUGAAAUCUCAAUCUAGAGACCCCCUUUAACCAAAACCUUGGUCUUUAUCCUUAGCUCGGUCAACCUGAGAUCCCAAUCUAGUGAUUUCCUUUAACCAAAACCAAAAUGUCACCUUAAGCUUGGUUAACCUGAAAUCUCAAUCUACAGAUCCCCUUUAAUCAGAACCUUGAUCUUUGUCUUUAGCUCAGUCAACUUGAGAUCCUAAUCUAGCUAUUCCCUUUAAUUAGAACAAAAAUGUCACCUUCAGCAUGGUUAACCUGAAAUCUCAAUCUAGAGACCCCCUUUAACCAGAACCUUGGUCUUUGUCUUCAGUUCGGCAAACCUAAAAUCCCAAUCUGAUGAUUCGUUUUAACCAGAACCAAAAUGUUGCCUUAAGCUUGGUUAACCUAAAAUCUCAAUAUAGAGACCCCCUUUAACUAAAACCUUGGUCUUUGUCUUUAGCUCAUUCAACCUGAGAUCCCAAUCCGACAAUCCUAUUUAACUAGAACCAAAAUGUUUCUUUCAGUUUGGUUAACCUGAAAUCUCAAUCGAGUGACUCCCUUUAAUCAAGCGAUUCCCUUUAACUAAAACCAAAAUGUUGCCUUCAACUCGGUUAACCUAAAAUCUCAAUUUAGAGACCCCUCUUUAACUAGAACCUUAGUCUUUUUUUUUUAGCUCGGUCAACUUGAGAUCCCAAUCUUAUGAUCCCAUUUAACAAGAACCAAAAUAUUGCCUUCAACUCGGUUAACCUAAAAUCUCAAUUUAGGGAACUCUCUUUAACUAGAACCUUAGUCUUUUUCUUUAGCUCGGUCAACUUGAGAUUCCAAUCCUACGAAUCUUGAAACAUCAUCCCCUUCUUAGUCCUACUUUGAUUUGCCAAAAAAAUGGAAAAGAAUGAAUGAUAUGGUGGAGAACUAGACCGGUCUUUACCAUUGGCUAGAACCAACCAUAGGCUGCUUAGAAAGCAACCUUCAACACCUAAAAACAAACCACCACAUAACAACCCUGCAAUUAUCAACAACAACAUCUAGUUCUAGCUACCUAGUCUAUGUCAAAGAAUAGAAUCUGAGGCAACUUUUUGACCAAAAUUCCAUUCUCUAUUAUUCCUUCAAUAUUGGGGUUUAAUGCAAGCAACUUGUUUAUUCGGAUUUGAGAUGUAAAUAGAUUUUAAUUUUGUUAGGAUGAGGUGGUCAGGUUGCGUCACAUUGAUUAUGUCAUGAAGUUAACUAGAGUAAGAAAUAAAGAUAUCAAGUUUCGGAGAGAAUCAAGAUCAGUUAAAGCAAAAAAAAAAAAAAACAGAUUAUGAAAAUAAAUUGGAAACGAAAAGUUUAGUUAUAAGGAAUUAGAUUCACAAACAAAUUUAAGUCUCAUCAAUUCUAGGAAACAAGUUGGAAGGAAUCAAUUUUACAAAAAUUGACCUUCGCACUAGAGAGAACCUUCGAGCCACUUCAAAUGUACUGAAGGCCAUUUGUUUGCCAUAUGUGCUAAUUAAGAACAUAAUUCUAUUCUUUUGUGAGUUAAUAUUCUGUAAAAUAAGCUUGGAAUAGCUUGCGGGGGCUUGGCUCAGAGAUCAUUGAGUUUUUACUACAAAUUGCCUUUUAAUUUUUUUCCACCUGUAAUUGGAUUCGAUAAGUUUCCCUUUUGUUUACAUAUGAAGAACAAACAUUGCUUGAGGUUAUCCAAUGCCGAGAUCAAGGUCAGAUAAUACUAGCGAACCCCUAAUCAGGAUUAAGAAGCAAAAAAAAUGUUAAGUGCAGCUUAUCCAAUGCCGAGACCAAGGUCAGAUAAUAUCCUGAUUGUGCUUAUUGCCAUUAAUUAGAAACUGCAAUAUCGUCACAUAAUUAAACUGAGAUUAUUCUGAUUAGAGAACAGAAGGAAUCUUCUUUCAUAAUUGGCUUUUGCGAAGGUUUAGUGUUUUUGCUGCUACUGCUUUUGGACCUGACUUGAUUCCUGAUCGGUCGAAAAAGCAUUAGUCCAAAAGCAGGGAAGCUUUUGUUUUCUUUAAUCACAUGAUCAGAUAUUAUAAUUUAUGCCCAACACAAAUUCAUAAAAGUGGCUCUAAGAUUGGCUGACAACAGUUGUUAAUGAGCAGUGUUUGCAUCCCUUAUUUUUCAGUUUACUAAGUAUUUAGAACAUUCAAUUCCAAUCCAAAGUCGAUAAUAAUAAACUCUUGGUAAUGGUUUUGUCAUCGAUGGUGAUCGGACGACAAAAAAACCAGUAAAAUUGUUUUAUAUAAAAAGUUUAUUAAGUAUUGAAAACAUCCAAAUCUAACAUGUUUUACUUUUUUGUGUUUAAAUAUGAUAUUAAUAAACUUUUGGUGAUAUUUUUUUUUUCAUUUUGUGAUGCUUUUAUCGUCAGUAGUGAUAAGAUGAAGAAAAGCUAUUGAUUUUUCUCUCAGCAAUGGUUUGUUUUAUCGUACACAAAUGUUGGGUGCUUUUAUUUACAAAAAGGAGUACUGUCUACCAUUAUUCAUUCCACAGCUGUUGUCAACCAAACCUUUCCUUUCUAUAUAAAGGUGGCUUGGCCUCCUACAUAUUAGCCAAAGCAAGAAAACCAACAAAACCUAUAAACAGCUACUUGUCUUUGUGUGUUGAUUAAUUGUAGUUAACAUGGCACGUCAGGCAGAUCGUCUUGUUAAGAUUGGGCAGGAGGGUUUUGCAACCAUUGAUGAGCACUUCGGCCGGGCCAAGAGGCGGCCACCAGUUAUGAAGGUUCCCUAUGCUCAUCCCACAUAUUACUAUGCAACAGAAGUUAUCGACAGCAACGAGGCAGCUCAACGCUACAAGGGGAGGGUUUAUGUCGAUUACCCUAAGGGUAAACCAGUUCCGUUUUAAAGACCUAUUGAUUAAUCACUUAGCUUUCUUGUAUGCAUAACCUCCUCCAGUUGUGUUACCUUUAGUCCUGUACGAUAUUCUCCCUCUGCUAAACGUAGACGAGGAGAGGUUGCUAGAACUCGAGUCAGGAGCUUCUUCUUACUUCUUCAAAUAAACUUUCUGUGAUUUAUAUAUCAUUUUCUAUUUGUAUGUAUUGUCAUAAUUAUCUUUCUUACUUCCUCAUUAUCACCUCUUACUUAGCAUGGAAUUGAAAGAUACAAUAUGCUCUUGAAAUGCUUUGAAGCUCUUCAAGGUGUGAUUUCACCGACUAAGUUUGGAACUGUACAGAGCUCAAUGAUGAGCCGUGGGAGGCGUCUCUGAUUGUUGCACUGUAAGCAUGAGUGUACGUAUGAAUAUAACCAGCAGAUCCGCAAACCACAAGUGAUGACAAGCUUCUUAACACUGCUGCAUUUAACAGUUUUACCAACAAAAUGUUUUGUCGGUAUUUACUCUACCAUUCCGUCAGCAUGAAUUUUACCGACUGAUUUACGGACGGAAACAGUCCAUUGGUAAAUUCCUCUUGUCAGUAAUUUCAUUAAUGUCGGUACAAAAAAACCCGAUGGUUUUACAGAUAGAAAAUGCAAGCCAAUUGUUUUUCCACUGGAAUAUACAGACGGAAUUAUUUCUUCGGUGAUUGACAGUGGCAUAUGGAGUAAUUUUAUUCCAAACCCUCUAUAAAAUACCGAAGGAAUUAUUCCAUCGGUGAUGUAACAGUUGAAAUGGCAUAUGCAGUAAUUAUUUUUCAACUCUCUGGAAUAUAACGAC
rnacentral:lncRNA from 1 species